AGAGAGUGUGCAUGUGUGAAAGACACGAAAAAAAAAUACAAAGAAGCAAGUGAGAGCAAAGCAAGCUUUCAAAGUUCCAGAACAAUGGCAGCUAAUGGCGUGAAUUCUUCACCUCAGCCCCUUCUUCUAAUUUUUAAAGGGGUAAACUACCAUUUUUGGAGUCUUAAAAUGAAGAAUCUCUUCAAGUCUCAAGAAUUAUGGGAGUUAGUGGAAACUGGUUUUAUAGACCCGGAACCCGACGAACCCAGCUAGUAGUUAUGGGAGGCUCGCAAGAAGGACUCCAAGGCACUCUUCAUGAUCCAGCAAGCUCUCGAUGAUGAAGUAUUUCCCAGAAUGGCCGCAGAAACCACUUCUCAUGAGGCAUGGGAAAUUUUAAAGAAAAAGUAUCUGGGAGACGAGAAGGUAAUCUCUAUGAAAUUGCAAACCCUUCGUCGCGUCGUGAUUUUAAGACUUUAGUUAUAUGAGAGAAAGAAUCAGUGCAAGAGUUAUUGACUAGAGUGUCGGGAAUUGUUAAUCAUAUGAAGUCGGAUGGUGAAAAUUUGAGCACUGAAACUAUUAUGAGUAAGGUUUUGAGGAGUCUAACCAAAAGAUUUGAUCAUGUUGUGGCUGCAAUCGAAGAGUCAAAGGAUUUUUCUAACUAUUCCUUUGAUGAACUUAUGUGUUCUUUGCUAGCUCAUGAAGACAUGUUAAAUCAAUCAGUUGUAAAAACAGAGGAGAAGGCUUUUCUGGUGAAGGGGGAGUCUUCUUAUAAGGGAAAAUCAGAGGAUUCAAGAGGCAGAGGCAGAGGUAGAGGUGGUUUUCAUGGUCGAGGACAUGGUGGCAGAGGUAGAGGCAAUGCUGGUGAUUCCCGUCAACAAAAAAGUGCAAUUCAAUGCUGAUACUGUAAGAAAUAUGGCCAUAAAGAAGUUGAAUGUUGGGACAAGCAUAAAGAUGAGCAAAAGAAUGUCAACUUCGCAGAAAAAGUUGAGAAUCAAGAAAGUAACUUGUUCAUAACUCACUCUCCCAUUACUGAUGCUUCAAGCGAUGUUUGAUUUGUUGACAACGCAUGUUCGAAUCAUAUGUCUGGGUCAAGGUCAUUGUUCAAAGAUCUUGAUAGACACAGAAAAGCAACGUUCAGCUUGGGGAUGACAAACAAGUGAAAGUUUAGGAGAAAGAUACAAUUGCCAUUAAAACUAUACAAGGUCAUGUGAAACUUCUUUAUGAUGUGCAGUUUGUGCCUGGUUUAGCUCAUAAUUUGUUAAAUGUCGAGCAAUUGAUCAAUAUUGGAUAUUCAAUUAUGUUUAAUGGUGGUUCAUGUGUUAUUCAUGAUAAGAAAACUGAUCAGUCUAUAGUAAGUAUUCCUAUGACACAUAAUAGAAUGUUUCCCUUUGAUGUUUCAAAUGUUGUGAAGAAUGCCUUUGUGUCAAGGGGAGUACUGAAACUAAUUUGUGGCAUUUACGUUAUGGGCAUUUGAAUAUGAAUGGGUUGAGACUUUUGAGUAAAAAAGAAAUGGUUGUUGGCCUGCCGAAAAUCAAUGACCUUGUAUUUUGUGAAGGAUUUAUUUUAGGGAAGUAGAGUAAGAACUCAUUUCCUAUUGGAAAAUCUUGGAGAGCUUCAGAUUGUUUGGAACUUGUGCAUGCAAAUUUGUGUGGGCCAAUGUAAAAUGAGUCACUAAGUGGAAGUCGGUAUUUUUUAUUAUUCACCAAUGAUUAUAGUCGUAUGAGCUGGAUUUAUAUCUUGAAAUUCAAAUCUGAAACCUUUGAGAAUUUUAAGAAAUCUAAGGCAUUAGUGGAGAAGCAAAGUGGUAAGAGUGUAAAAGCACUUCGCACUAAUCGAGGUGGUGAAUUUUUAUCUCAAAAUUUUGAUGAAUUUUGUGAGGAGAAAGGUAUUCGCAGGGAGCUCACAGCACCAUACACACCAUAACAUAAUGGCGUUGCAGAGCGGAACAAUCGAACAGUUGUAGAAAUGGCCAGUAGCUUGUUAAAAGCAAAGGGGCUUUCAGAUCUGUUUUGGGGAAAAGCAGUUGCAACGGCAGUAUAUCUCUCCAACAAAAGUAGUUUUAAAUCAAUCACCUUAUGAAGCAUGGAUGGUUAAGAAGCAUCGAGUAAGCCGCUUAAAAGUCUUUUGUUGUAUAGCAUAUGCUUUGGUUAAUUUUUGUUCUAAGCUUGAUGAAAAAUCUGAGAAAUGUAUUUUUAUUGGCUAUAGUACUAAAUUCAGGCAUAUCGUCUAUAUAAUCCUAUAAAUGGCAAAGUGAUCAUCAGCAUGAAUGUUGUGUUAAUGAAAAAACUAGCUGGAAAUGGAAUGAUGACAAGGAAGGUACUGUAAUUCAAGCUCCUACAAAUGAAAAUUUUCAGCAAAUACAAGCACCAUCAUCUGAUGUAUCAUCAACUUCAAAUCCACAUUCUUUCUCCCUCCGUAAUAGCAGCAACAGUAGUCCUGCAAAUUCUUCAUCACAUGGCUCCUCUAGUGAAACAUCACCCAAGAAAUUCAUAACUUUAAGGGAAAUAUAUGAUUCCCGUGAUAUUCUUAAAGGCAAAAAUGGUAUAGGGCUCAAAUGGGUGUUUCAAACAAAGUACAAUGUUGAUGGAAGCAUUCAAAAGCACAAAGCACGGCUCAUGGCUAAGGGAUAUUCACAACAGCAAGGUAUAGAUUUUGAGGAAACCUUUUUUCAUGUCGCUCAUUUUGAGACGGUGAGAGUUGUUUUGGCUUUAGCUGCACAAUUUCAACUACCUAUAUAUCAAUUUGAUGUGAAAUCCGCCUUUUUGAAUAGAGCUUUAGAGGAGGAGGUUUUUGUGUCUCAGCUUUAAGGUUUUGUUAUUAAUGGUUGCGAGGACAAAGUGUACAGGUUGAGAAAAGCCCUUUAAGGAUUAAAGCAAGUUCCACGUGCAUGGUAUAGCAAAAUUGAUUCUUUCUUUCUAAGUAGCGGAUUCACAAGAAGUGAAAAUGAGCCCACUCUUUAUUUAAAGCGGCAAAGUAAUGGAGAUUUUCUAGUGAUCUGCCUUUAUGUAGAUGAUAUGAUCUAUAUGGGUUCCUCAAAGUCAUUAAUUGAUUAUUUUAAGCCUAGCAUGAUAAAAAAUUUUGAGAUGACAGAUUUAGGCUUAAUACAAUAUUAUUUGGGGCUUGAAGUGAAACAAGGUGAAGAUGGGAUUUUUGUAUGUCAAAAGAAAUAUGUUGCAAAUCUUUUAAAGAGGUUUAACAUGAGCAAUUGUGAAGUGGCAACCACAUCAAUGAACAUCAAUGAGAAGCUACAGCAUGAAGAUGGGACUGAAAAAGCAAAUCAAAGAUUGUUUAGAAGUUUGGUUGGUGGAUUAAAUUAUAUGACACACAUUAGGCCUGACAUUGUUUUUCGUGUUAGUGUUGUGUUUAGAUUUAUGCACAAUCCUACAAAGCAACACUUUGGUGUAGUAAAAAGAAUCCUUUGCUAUGUGGCUGGAACAUUUGAUUUUGGCAUCUGGUAUUCCAAAGUUUCAAAUUUCAAAUUGUUUGGAUUCACAGACAAUGACUAGGCUGGUUAUUUGGAUGAUCGAAAGAGCACUUCUGGCAAUAUUUUUAGCUUUGGUUCUGGAGCAGUAACCUAGAGUUCAAAGAAGCAGGAAACAUUAGCUUUGUCAUCAUCUGAAGCAGAGUAUGCAGCAGAAACUUUAGCAGCACGGCAAGCUUUAUAGCUUAGAAAACUCCUUGCUGAUUUUGGCUAUGUACAAGAGGAAGCUACUGACAUAUUUUGUGAUAACAGAUCUGCAAUUGCAAUGGCCAAAAACCUUGUUUUUCAUUGCAUAACCAAGCAUAUUGAUGUGCAACAUCACUUCAUUCGGCAGCUGUUGGCAAAUGGAAAAAUCAUGCUGAAAUUUUGUGGUACAGAUGAACAAGCAGGAGACAUAUUUACAAAGUCUCUUCCCCAAACUAAGCAAAAGUUUUUCAUAUUAUAGUUGGGAAUUUGCGAUUUUGAAUCAAUGGGGAGUGUUGAUUAACUGAUUCAAAAUUAAGUGGCAGUGUUAGAGAUUUACAUGGAUUAGUAGUUAGUGAGUUAUUUUGUUUGUUGCUAGAGUCAUGGGAUUAUGGGAUUAUGGUCUAGUAUUGUGUUCCUAUUUUUUAGCUAAAGUUGUUAGUUUUUUACUUGUAUUUAAGACUUGGUGUACUCUCUCUACGAAUAAUGCAACAGAUUUCAUAUUUCAAAAUUGUCUCUCAAUUAUUCUAUUUAGAAAAUUGUCUCUCUCUUCCUAACAAUACUUGCCCUUUCCCCGCACCACAGUUACAGUUAGCCUAAGUGACUAAACCUAUCUUCAAUUUUUUCAUUGAUGUCAAACUACUCACUCUCCGCAGGCAUUUUCAGACAAGUUUAUGCCCAUUUCACUAAUGGUACGUUUACUUCAUGGGAAUGGAAAUGGAGUGGAAUGGGAAUGAGGAAUGAGAAUGAGAUUUCAAUAUUUAUUUGGCAAAAAUAAAUGGGAAUGAGAAUGUGCUGGAAUGCCAUUGAUGUGUUUCCUUGGCAAAAUAAAUGGGAAUGAGGAAUGACAGUAAUAAUAAUAAUAAUGAUAAAUGUUAAUAAUGAUAAUAUUAAUAAAAAUAAUAAUAACAAUAAUUAAUAAUAACUAAAAUAAAAAAGUUAAUAAAAUUUAAUAAUAAUUAUAAUAACAACAAUAAGGAUAAUAUUGUUAAUAAUGAUAAAUUAUUUAUUUUUAUUAAUUAUUAUUUUUAUCAUUAUUUUUAUUAUUAAUAAUGAUAAUAUUAAUGAAAAUAAUAAUAAUAAUAAUAAUAAUAAUAAUAAUUAAUAAUAACUAAAAUAAUAAAGUUAAUAAAAUUUAAUAAUAAUAAUAAUUAUUAUUAUUAUUAAUGACAUUUAAAAUAAUAAAAUUAUUUGUGAUUUGAAUAAGGGUAAUUUAGGAAAUAUGAAAAAAAAUAGAAGGAUAGAAAAAGUAAAUUUAUGUUUCAUUCUCAUUCCCACAUUUUUCAUUCUCAACCCCCCAUGGGAAUUAGAUUCUCAUUCCUUAUUCCCAAAUUGUGUGGGACUCACACAUUUUAUUCUCAUUUCCAAAUUAUAUUUUGCCAAGUUAACAUAGGUUUCAUUCUCAUUCCUUCAUUCCCAUUCCUCAAACUCACAAGUAAACACAACAUAAAUGUUAACGACAUUAAAAAAAAAAAAAAAAUUCAUCAAUGUUGUCAUUGAUUUAAAUAUGAUUUCCAACCAUCCUUAAAUCAUCAAUGUUGUCAUUGAUUUAAAUAUGAUUUCCAACCAUCCUUUUGUAGCUUCUCUGCUUUGGCGAUCAAGACAUCAUCCCUCAUGUCUUCCGUAUGUUGUUGCAUUAUCGGGAACAUAAAACGCGUGCAAAAUUAAGCGAUCAUGGUUGAUGGUUGACUGCUGUUGGGAAGAUAUGCACCUGCAUUUUCCCAAACAGUUUCAGACCAAUUUUUAAUUGUGCAAACUGCAAGGAGAAUGGCAUCAGGAGGAUCAAUCCACCAAAAGUAUUUAUCGCCACGAACGGCAACAACCAGUCCUACUACAUGUGUGAUCACCUCAAAAUAGUCAUCUUGAGCAACAAACAGAACACUUUUAAAGGACAAUUGAUGAAAAUACGGAAUUAUUAAUGAAAAACACAGAGUCUAAAAAUUAAUUAACCUUGGCGCAUGCACGGACCAAUCGUGUUUCCUGAGCUUCUGCAGCAAAUCCAGAGACCAAGUUUGACAAGAGUGGCACCAAUCAUGAUCGAGUACAACCAUGCCAAUUGGAUUGUACUCAUCUUUGUGGGCUCUUCAUCUUUACCCAGCUCUUGUACUGCUUCAAUCAACACCUGAAACACUGCAAACAAAUGGAACUAGGCGUGUACAUAGCAAUCUCGCUGCAAUUAACUAUCACAAUCAACGAACAAUCAAGAAACAGAUUAAGCUUUGGUGAUCGCAUACCAAGUGUGGACAUUACAGCGGCAAAGAUGAUAAUGCCUACUGGCUGGACCCUCAGUUUGCCAAUGGGAUACUUGUAGAUGUUGACAUUUUUCACAGUCCAAUGAGUGCACCAAAGUAUGCCCCCAACUAGUAGAUCCAGUAGAGAGUCUAGUGUUGAUGCAGCAAUGGCGAUGGAUCCACUCAUAAUUGUAGCAUAAAUCUGCAUGCCAAGCCAGGUAUAGGUAAUACAAUAAACAGAAUUUGAAGCACCUUAGAGUGUUGGCAUAAUUGGAUAGCUUCAUGGCCCUUUCAUGCUGGCCUUGUUCCUCGAGAUCUUCCUCCGGACUGCAGUGAUCAGAUUCCACCAUUAAUGCAUCCACUUCCUCGAAGGCUUUCAAGGUCGUAAAUUAUGCCUCGUGAUAUUCCUUCUCCCCUGUAAUAUCAUUAAGAUGUAUCUGCAGCAUGUUAAACACAAUGAUCAAACUACUCACUCAUCAAGUAGCUGGUUGAUAAUGAUGAUCAAAACCGCUCAAACUAAAACAAGAAAUCAUACAAAGAUCAGCAAUAUUAAUGUAGUUAAGUUUCUUUACCAUAUCAAAUGUUUUCUUAAUUCUUUUUAACUAUGGCGAAAAAGGGCUUAAUUUUUUUAAAAAAUAAAAAUCUGUCUGACCAUUUCUAAAAGUUACGAAAUCCUGAGCAUUUUGUUUCUUCGCCUCAAUUUAAGACUGAUUAGUUAACAUUAUUUGUAAUUGCUGUAGGAACAUAGAAUAACAAACCAAACAACGUAAAAGUGAAGAAAUCAAGAAAGGAUGAGUAAAAAUUUCAGUUCAAUUUCAAAUUAAAAAAAAUUAUAAUACCGACAGUUUCUCAAAUCAGAGUGUCAAACCCCAUGUGGGCUCCAAACAGUGUAAAAAAAUAUACUUUUUAUUUUUCUUUUCAAUUUUUUUUUUUUUUUUGAACCCUUGGUGGGAUUUGAUUCAGCUAGACCAUUGUUGUGUUUAUAAAUAGAGAUGUCUCGUCCCGGCCCAAUGUCUAUGCGUCCUAUACUGUAAUGCCUACCUUAUCAAAAGUUGUUGCCGUAUGCUCUACUAAUUCGUCUUUCUUCCCCCUUCGGUAUUUUUUUUUUCUCCUCUCCUCUCUCUCUUCUUUAAUUUCAAUAGGCCAUAAAAAUGUGUCUCUUCAAACUCCAUAAACAUUAAAUAUUUAAGAUUUUUGGCAUCAUUAUUUCUCAUCUUUUUAUAUUCUCUAUAAUCUAAUAUAUUGGUUGAGAUUAAAAAAUAAUUACAUUUCUAUAUAUAUAUAUAAAAAGCUGGGACUUGAGGAGGUGAUGUGGUAUCACCAUUUCUCAUCAUCUCAUAUUCUCUAUUAUCUAAUAAAUUGGUUUAAAUUAAAAAAUAAUUAUAUUACAAACUAUUAAAAUAGAAGAUAAUUAUUAGAUUAUAAAUGAUUACAUGUCUUUUCCUCUUUCUAUUUAAAUUCAACAAUAUGUAACCAUUAAUAAUAAUUAAUUAUAAGUCUUGAAACAUUCAUUUAUUUUAUUAUGCCAACAAUUAAACUUUAGUGCCUUAAAAUACAUCAACUAAUUAACAUAGGAAGAGAGGUUCUUUCAUCUUCCCUCAACCUCAUCUUUUUAUAUUUAUUUUAAUGCCAUAAUCUUACAUUUAAUUAUGGGCCUAAAUUUAAUUUUAAUAAUUUUAAUGUCUCUUCCUCUUUCUAUUGAAAUCCAACAAUAUGUAACCAUGAGGCUCUAAUGGCAUUGUUGAGGGAAGAUGAAGGAACCUUCCUUCAUAUAUUAAUAUUAAUUAAUUGAUGUAUUUUAAGCCACUAAAAUUUAAUUGUUGGCAUAAUAAAAUAAAUGAAUGUUUCAAGACUUAUAAUUAAUUAUUAUUAAUGGUUACAUAUUGUUGAAUUUAAAUAGAAAGAGGAAAAGACAUGUAAUCAUUUAUAAUAUAAUAAUUAUCUUCUAUUUUAAUAUUUUGUAAUGUAAUUAUUUUUUAAUUUCAACCAAUUUAUUAGAUAAUAGAGAAUAUGAGAUGAUGAGAAAUGGUGAUGCCACAUCAACUCCUCAAGUCCCAACUUUAUAUAUAUAUAUAGAUAGAUAUAGAUAGAUAGAUAUCCAAUAUGAGAAAGGAAGUCUCAAGUUAUGGAUGAAUAUUUUUACAAAUGGUUAAAAUAGCACCAGUAAUAAUAAGAACCAAAAAAGAAAAAAACAACAACAACAACAUUUCACUAAAUGAUAGUACAAAUUGAAUUCAAUUUGAUUAAUGACUUAAUAUUAGUUUAUAAUUGAAAAUAACAUAAAAUUGAUUAAUAAUAGAAAUUCAAUUCAAUUAAAAUGGAGCAAAAUCAACCCAACCUCAAACCAAAUUAAAAUGAUUUGGACUCAAUUGGGCAAUAAUUUUGGGUUCAUUUGGUUUAGAUCGACCUUAAACCCAACCCAUUGGGUUAAUUUUGGGCCGAAUUGGGUUAAUAUUUCGGCAGUGUUCAUUGGAAUGUUAGUUUUUCCUUUGAUGGCUAUUUAACCUCUCUCGACCUUUUAGAAGAGAAACGGUUGUUACAAACCCAGUUAGCAAAUUUGACUACCCUUAUGAAUGAUGCACACACACACACACACACACACAUAUAUAUAUAUAUAUAUAUAUAUAUAUAUAUAUAACUUAUUUCACCUUGUUGACAAUAUAGCAAACCUUUGUAUGUAAUACUAAGAUAAAAUAAAUAACAAAUUAGUGAAACUAUGUUAGCUCCUUUCUAUUUUAAUUCAAUUUUUUUUUUUUGAAGUAAGAUGAUAAUAAUGGGGUCACUAAUAUGUUUCUCCGGCAGAGUUUGAAAAGUGAGUGCAAAACAAUACUAUAGUGAGCUAACUUCAAAGAAACCUUCAAGAUCAUGACAUGAAUGCCUUUCUCCAUAACACAGCAUUAUUGAAGCAAACACUCAAAUAGGAUAGCUGCUAAUGAACUAAAAAAUUCGCAAUAAUGUCAGGUCACCAAAGUAACUAAGUUAAGCAUUUACCUGAAAUCUAAUAACUAACAAGAACUAAGAAUACAGUAAUGAAACGAUAACCCUUUGCACAGAAGUAACAUACCCAGCUUUUCUAAACACUAAACCAACUUUCAAUAGCUCAAUAACUCAAAUAGGUGCUGCACAUGUGGUUCUAAAAUGGCCUGUCUGAUUGCAUCGACUACAAUGCACAACUCGCUUCACACGUCCCCUGUCUUCAGCUCGAACGCGCUUCUUUCUUGGUCGACCAGGAGGCCGAAGUGAUUUGGGUGGGUGGAUAACAAUGUCAGCAGAUUUGCUGGCAUUUGGAUCUCCCUCAGACAACUCCUUCCAUAAACUUUUAUCAGGAAUUGGAUGAAUGGUCUGUGAAUAUGUCUUUCUGUAGGUUGCUACAGUGAAACAACUCUCAGUAAACCGAUGUACAUUCUGCCUACAAGAAAGAAGGGCGGCCACAGCAUGAGCACAAGGCAAGCCAUACAGCUGCCAUCCCCGACAAAGGCAGCAUCGGUUUCGAAUGUCCACAAUGUUCGUUCCUUCAUGAGAUAUGACUUCGAAUUCAGCUUCAUUAGCACGAAGCACCUGGUAAGUGCGCGCACGUUCGAGAGCCUCUGCAACACGCCUCUCAGCAGAAGGCACAAGUAUUGAUGUCCACUGCAUGCUGGUCUCUCGGCGUUCAUUGAACCAAGUCAUAAGCUGCCUCCUAAUGCAUUCCAUCAUUUGUAUAAUAGGAAGACCGGAGGCUUCUAAAAUCCAUGAGUUUAAAGAUUCAACUAUAUUAGCUGUCAAAUGACCAAAUCGUGUUCCUUCAAAAUAAGCUGUGGCCCACAACCGAGGGGGAAUUCGUCGGAUCCAGUAAGCAGCAUCUUGAGAGAUCUCCUCAAUCUCCAAGAUUUUUGCUUCAAAUUCAAUUACAGUCAAAGCAUGAGCAGCUUCCCACAAAAGGUUGACAAGAAUUGUGUUAUUGAACUCCUUCCGAAAGCUUUCACUUAAGUGACGCAUGCAAAACCCAUGAAAAGCUGUUGGAAAGUUUGCUUCCACUCCAUCAACAAUGCCCUUCUGCCUGUCUGACAAAAUUGUAAGCCUAGGCAUGUUUUCAGUAUUAAUCUCGAGCAGGUUAUGAAGUUCAGAAAGAAACCACAUCCAAUUAUCAUCAUUCUCCUCAUCAACGACACCAAAUGCCAAAGGAAACAGAGCGCCAUCCCCGUCAAAACCCGUAGCAAGAAGCAAAGUACCAAGGUAUUUGCUUUUCAAAAAUGUCCUAUCAAGCCCAAGGAGUGGCCGACAAGCAUUCAGAAAACCAUAUAUUGAUGCCUGGAAUGAUAUAAAGAGGCGCUGAAAGCAAUUAUCUGCAGGGUUUCCAUAGACAGAUGCAAUACUCCCUGGGUUUGUCCGUUUAACCUGUUCACAGUAUUGAGGAAGCAAGCGAUAACCUUCUUCAAAGGAGCCACGCAUAGCAGCCAUGAUGCGCUCCUUGCCUCGCCAGGCUUGCUUGUAAGAUAAGGUAAUACCAUGAACCCGGUGAAUCUCUUCCAAUAUCUCCUUUGGCUUAUAAUUAGGGUUCUCCCUGAGCCGUUGCUCCACAGAAUUUGCAACCCACUGAACUGACGCUUGCUGAUGGCCAAGAUGGGAAAUUCCUCCACAUGUAUGGCUCUCAUGAAUGGUCCUGAUUGUGAAGGUUGGAACACCCGGGAGCUUUGCUGCAUGAAUUCGCCAGGGGCAUCCCUCGGCUGCACACUUAGCAGUAAAACGAGUCUUGUCAGAUUUAAUGGUUUGCAUUUCAAAGUGAAGGGCGAUUGCUGUAUCCCUCAAUGCCCUGCGGCAGCUCUUAACGUCCGGGAACUCUUGCCCCACCGCCAGCUCAAAUGCAGAAUUUGGAGUAAUAGUACGAACCUGUAAUACAGGACUGCCGCUAACCACAAGCUGGGAAUGGUGGACAUCCAUAUCCUGGACGGGUUCUAUUGCCAAUUCUUGGUGCUGGUCCACCGCUAAGUCAAGAUUCUCAUCAAGUUCUUGGUUUUCUGAAACACCCAAUUCAUUGUUCUCUGAUAAAGCUAACUCGUGGUUCUGAGCAGGAAGAGGCAUCUCAUGAUCACCGUGUUCAGGUUUCCGUUCCAUAGCUAAUUCAUUCUCAUGUCCAUAGCCAUGACCAUCACCCCCUUCUUGAUCAUGGUUCUGUCCCAAAUCUAGAUCAUGGUCAUGAGGAUGUCCUAAACCCAGUUCAUGAUUUUGCUGUCCCAAAUCCAGAUGAUGCUCAUGGGUUUGUCCCAAUUCCAAAUCAUGGUUCUGGUUCAGACCCAUGUUAUGAUUAUGGCCUAGCACCAACUGUUGGUUCUGCCCCAUGCCCAAAUUGUGACGCUGCCCAAGAAUCAAAUCAUGGUUCGCCAUUGGAGAAAUCAAUUACAAUAGAUAACCAAUACCAACUCAGCCCUCAGAAACGAACUAUAAAUUAGCAAUGAUGGUCAAAGUAAAAGCUGAUUCAAUUCUAUCCACAUACGCCUGAAAAGUUAUUAGGAAUAAACAACUGUUAAAUCCAAAGCCAUACCAUUUAUUUCAAAUCAAUCUUCAACAAUCAAAACCAAACAUUUAAUAUUCUCCCAUUAAUCAAGCCAGACGACUCUGAAGACAAGAAAAAUCCAAACAGUACAUAAAUGUCAAACAUAACAAACCAAACUGACAAAUCCAGACUUCAAACUCUCAUUAUUAUUGUUAUUAUUCAUAACCUUCAAACCAUCAAGCAUCUGGAACAAACAAUCCAUAUGAAAUUACAAACUUAGUGAACUGAUUUCAGUAUCUUGCUAGCAACACUGCACUUGUUAACACAGACAAAAAGUAAUUUCCAACUCAACAUAGAAAUCCUAGCAAAUUGCCAAAGAUGCUAUGGACUAUAAAUUCGCCAAGUGAAAGCCACCAACAGAUUUAUUUCCAAAAAUUCUAACUACAUUAAUUAGAAUAAAGAACAAAAUAUAAUCAACAAGAUCAAGAGUUCCUCGCCAGUUCCUGAUUGCCAAAACAAAAGCGGUAAGCACAGCACAUACACAAGAAAUCCAAAUAAUAAUUCUCGAACCCAAGUGCUAAACUAAUCAGACAAGCAAAUUAUACCAAUAAGUCAAAACAAUCACAAAAUUCAACACAGAACCCAAACAAGCAAUUUUAACAAAAAUUAACAGCAACCCACCAAAAAGCUCACAAAAUCAAACAUCAUCAGACUAAGAACAAAGACGAGAAUUACCUGAACUCAUAGAAACCCUAAUUCGAGCCACCAAUCAAAGACCUUCAAGAACACACUCGAAAUAGACAAACAUGCAGAAAAACAAACAGGGUCUUUAUGAGAAGGGAAGGAAGCAAGUAUCCGAAACUAAAAGACGCCGAGGGAGUGAGAAAUUAAAGCUAGGGUUUUGAAAAUUGAGAGUGAAGAGGAAGAAAGGUAAGAUUUUUUGAAAGUGGGGAAAAGAGAGAAUUGGCGGGUAAAAUGAUUUAGGGAAGAAGAAAAAAAAAUUAAGAGAGUAAAGGGCAAUUGAAGGAAGGAAGGGCGAGAUUGGGAAUGGGGAAUUACAGGGGCAGAAGAGGGAGAGCGAUGAGGGAUAGAGAGGGGAAAUACAAGAAGAUGGCGUUUUUGUUUGCUUGAGAGAAAAAAAGGGUAUUUAUGUCAUAAUAUUGGUUUUGGGGUCUUUUCUGGGGUUUGCAUUUUGGAUUUACUGUUUUGGCCCUUUCUAAAUAAAUAUAGAAAAAUAUGAGGGACAGAUCAUGUUCAUGGGCCUGUUAUUAUUUUAGAGGAAACGAAAUUAUAGGGAAAAUCAACUUACAUAUAGAAGAAUAAAGAAUUGAGUAAUGGGUCUAACAAAAUUAGUUAUAAAAUUUUAAUAAAAGGUAAAAAAAAUUAAAACAUCAGAGUAAUUAUAAACAACUUAUUCUUUGUCAAGAUAUUUUUCAUAUUAUUAUUUAUUACUAAAAAUAAAUUUUACAUAUGAAUUUAUGGUAUAAAGGAUUGAAAAGUAAUGAUUUAAUGGGAAACGAUAAUCACGAUAUUACCAAUAGCGAAAUCUGAUUAAUUUUAAGAACAACCUUAGGAAAAUAAUCUAUUGACCAUUAGUGCUUGCUAAAUUUAUCAAGCAAAUUUGAAAAAGUGUUGGAAUUGGUGUCAUGAUGAGCUUGAUCGAGUCAACUUGAAACUAUUUAGAUAUUACUUUCGAUUAGGAUUUAUGGUAAGUAUAUUUGAAUUUAAAGAGUACAGUAAGGUUACGUUUGUUUUUUUAAUUUAAAAUCUGAAUAGGUUUGAAUUUAGUUGAAGUCUAAAUAGGUCUAAAUGAAAAUGUCUAAAUGACAUGUUUUUUUUUUUUUUCAACAUCUGAGGAGAAAAACUUAAAAGCUAAUAGUUUGAUAUAAAUAUCAUUUUAAAUGGUGUAUAUAUUUGUUCUUCACAAUUUAUAAUUUUCAUAGGUUGAUGAGUUUGGUAGCAUUAAAAAAAUACUAUCAUUGUUGAUCUUAAUUUAUUUUUUUAAUAAAAGAUGUAAUUAUAACUUCAAAUUUUAUUAUAAAGUCAACACUGUUAUUUUUUUUUUUAUUCAUCACAAUGGACAUAAUUUAAUUUGUUCAAUAUUUAAGCUUAGUUAAUGUUAUCAUGUGAAUAAAAAUUUAAAGCAAUUAAAAAAAAUAACUUCAAGAAUAAUACAAAAAUAUUAGGUUUAUACAUACUAUCGGAAAUACAUGAAUUGCUAAGGGUAUUUUUUAUAUUUGAAAUUAAAAUUUUCCAUUUAGAUUUAAGAUAAAAGUUGACUUUUUCUACUUUUUCUAUUUAAAUAAAAUUGCCUGACAAUAAGUGAUAAGUUAAAAAAAAACUAAUAUAAACAAAUGUCUGAAAAAAGUUAAAUUCAGAUUUCAUACUAAAAAAACAAACAGCACCUAAGUUUUUUAUUUAAUUUCUACAAUUCAACUAACUUCUAUAUAGAUACAUAUAUAAAUAUAACAAUAAUGUGUAGCAUUACUGUAAAUAUAAAUCCUAUGUAUAAGACGUUUCAAAAAAAAAAAAAAUAGAAAAUCUAUAAAGUAUGGGAUUGAUAAAAUGGGAGAAAGGGAUAGCGAACUCUUGUUUUGAAUUUAGAGAGUUUUUCAUUCUUGCAAUAAUCCUCUAAUUAUUAAUAACAAUGAUAUAAUCUCAUUGUAUUCGACCAUCAAAAAGUAUGAUUUUUUUUCUCCUUAUUGUAUUAUGUUGAUUGGUGCAUGAAAUAUAACGAGAAGUCUAAUAGCAGUUGAUGUUGAAAAUGGAAUUUGUCAAUAUGCGAUGGAAUGGGAAACAAAUAAAACCGUCAAUAUGUGUAUAUACAACAUUGUGAGAUUUAUUGAUAGAGACGUCAAAAUAUCUUAAGAGCACGAGGCCAAGAUGCACCCUUAUUGGAGUGGGGUAAAGUUGUGAUUUUGGGACAAUGUAGAAUUUGUCUAUCAGAAAAGCAUAUGCAACAAGAUAUGGUGUUUCUAGUAUUUGUUUCAAUGGGCUAAAAUCAAAUUACUUUCUUAAGAAUCAAAGAGCAAAAAAACUCGUAAAAAAAGGAGUGCAUAUGCCGUAAGGUGAGGACCAUAUCUUCUAACUAAUAACGCUUAUUAAUGGGUAUGGUUCAAGAAACUCAUAAAUUUAGAAAUUUAUCUAGACUAGUUAGAAAUUGUGGAAAAAAUUAUCUUUAUUUCACACUUUUGUUGGAAGAGAAAAGAGUUUUAUGGAUACUUAAAACAAGUGAUACUAGUAUUAUUUGAACAUACAAUCUUUAAUUGGGUCACAACUCACAAGCCCAAUAAUAAUAUGGACUUGUGCAAUUGUAUGAAUUUGAACUUAGAUUCUGUUUGAUUAAACUUACUGAAUAGAGUUAAUAAGGGUAAUUUUUUUUUUUUAAAAAAGUUAUUUUUACGUAGAGCUUUUAAUGAAAAGAUUAUUGGAUGUUUGGUUGUAAAUUAAAAAGGUUUCUUGAACCAUUUGGCUCUUAAGUUUUACAAUACCAAAAGUGCUUUUAAGGUACAUUUGACACACUAUAUUAAAAUUAUACAAUAUAGUUACGUUGUAUUAUGUCGUAUUGUAUUAGCAUUGUAUUAGAAUAAAUCUAUACAAAUUUUGAUGUUACACUACACAAUAUUAAUAUUUAAUAAUAUUAUGUUUAGUUCUACACUAUAUAGUAUUAUUUAUUAUUAUUAAUUUAAAUUAUAUUUUUUAAAAAUAAUAUUUAUUAGUACUUAGGAAAAUACUAAAUAUAGAAAUCUUAAAUGUUAAAAAUUUAACAUUAUUUUUUCAGUAUAAAUAUUAAAAAAUCAUAAUUCAUUAUAAAAAUCAAAGCUUAUGUCUUAAAUUUUUUGCAACCUAACAUUUAUUUUUUUUAUUUUCAAAAUAUAUAACUUGUGAAAUAAAGAUACAAAGAAACAAUUCAAUCAAAUGACCUUUAAAUGCCAGUGAAUUUAAGAUGACUUUACUGAAUUGAAGAAUGACGAUGAGAGAGGUAUUUUUUUGUUCUCGAAAAACAAUAUUGAAUCGCAAUUCAUUUGUUCACACAUAUAUAGGGAUGGCAACCAAACCCAGACCCAGCCCGAACCUGAAAAAUUCGGUCCGGGUUCAACCCGCACCGGAACAAUUUUUAUACAGAAUCCAGAUGAGUUUUUGAGAACCUGCAUACUUCCUGGUCUGGAUCCGGAUAUUAUUUAUUUUAAUAUCAAUUUUUUAGAAAUUAUUAAAUAUAAAUAGAAAAUUUUUUAAAAAAAAGAAACCCUAAUGCCGACUACUGACUGGCACUCUCAAUCUCUCACCCUUUCCUCUCUCAAUCUCUCACUCUCUCUUCAACUCUCCUGUAAUUUCUCUUCUUUAGAUCAGAUCCUUCACGGCGUGGCUGUCAUCACCUUCACGGUUUAGUGUUCGUUUCAUCACUCAUUAGCAUCACUCGUCUCAUCUCUCACUCUGUCACGACCAGCAAAAGUGGUUGAAAUCUACCUCAAUCGCGGUUGUGUUCUGUGUUCAUCAGCAUAUACUUAAGCUGCCGCUGUGAAUAUUUGUGAGUCUCGGCUUUUAAAAUUUUAUUUAUUAGAAUCUGCUGUACCGUACAUCCGCCUUGGCCGUACAGCAGAUUGUUGUUGUUAAUAGAAUAGAAAUGGUAUCUCUAAAAUAUUUAUAGCUUUUACGGUUAAACAUAGCAUAUAAAUUGGAAGAAGUUGCUGGAAUUAAUUAUGUCUUGACAUAAUUUUUGUAGAAUGAAAAUUUGAUAUGGAAAAUGAACAAAGAAUCGACUUGGAUGUCUCUGAAAAAAGUGAUGAAACUGUUUGUGUGAGAGUUAGGACAUAAUCAGAAAAUAAUGAUGAUACAACAGCUGUUGAAUUAGAACCAAAUUCAACAACAGCAGUUCAGGGGAGUAGUCAUGGCCGUGGCCGUGGCCAUAGGGGUAAUACUAAUCCUGUCACUUCACAAAAACGAGGUGGUGGUGGUAGAGUAGUCUCUGAUGCUUGGAAUCAUUUCAAAAAAGUUAAGUUGGGUGAGGAAGUUCAGGCGAUUUGCAAUUACUGUGGGUUAGUUAUGCAGGGACAUUAUUCGAGCGGUACUAAUCACUUAAUAAAUCAUGCUAAACGUUGUCCUAGAAAGUCAUUCAAGAAUGUACAACAAAUGCACCUAUCUUUUUCUUUUAAAGUUGAUGAAAACGCUUCACUUAGUAAUUUGAGUUCUAAAUCAAAAUGGGAUAUGGCUACAGUAAAUUUUUUUGUGGCUAGAAUGAUUAUACUACAUGAGCUCCCUUAGCAUUUGUUGAAUAUGUUGGGUUUUAUGACUUGUUGAAGCUACUCCAACCUUCUGUUGAGACUAUUAGUAGAAACAUCAUCAAAGCUGAAAUUUUGAAACUUUAUGAUGUUGAAAAGAAGAGGAUAAUGGGUAUUUUGAAAGCUUGUGAGAGUAGAAUGACAAUUACUACAGAUAUGUGGACUGCUAGUAACAAAAAAAGGAUGCAUGGUUAUUAAGGCACAUUACAUUGUAGCUCAUGGGUGUUGCGAAGUCUAUAAUGAGAUAAUAUUCUUGAAACUUUUUUUUGUUUAAGCAUAAAUUAAUGUCCAGUUUAAUAUUUUAAUUAUUUUUUCACAUUGUUAGGUUUAUAUAUGUGCCAGCUCCACAUAGUGCUGAGGUAAUGUGUAAUGAGUUAUAUGAUUGUUUUAUGGAUUGAAAUAUAGAUAGAAAGUUGUCUAUUUUAACUGUUGAUAAUUGUGCUGCAAAUGAUUCUAUGAUUGCAUUGCUGUUGGGGAAAUUUUCUACUAGUUCAAUGAUUAUGGGUGGCAAAUUCUUUCAUAUGUGUUGUUGUACUCAUGUAUUGAACUUGAUAGUCAGAGCUAGUUUAUCUGUGAUACAAAAGGGAAUUGAGAAAAUUAGAGAUAGUGUUCAUUAUUGGACAGCAACACCAGCUAGAGUUGAAAAUUUUGAGAAUGCAAAAAAACAAUUAGAUAUUAAGGAAACCAAAAACUUGGUAUUUGAUUGUAAAACUAGAUGGAACUCCACUGACUUGAUGCUUAGUACUGCAUUGUUGUAUAAAGAUGUAUUUGAUCGUUUAACGGAACGUGAGAGAAAUUAUACAUCUUUGCCUAGUGAGUCAGAAUGGAAUUUGUCAAAGCUUAUGUGUGAGUAUUUAAAAAGCUUUUAUAAGUUGACAGAACUUUUUUCGGGGACACGAUAUUCGACAUCUAAUUUAUUUUUUGCCAAGAUUUGUGAAAUUAGAUUGUCAAUGAAUGCAUGGUUACAAUCACCAAUUGAGGGGAUAAAAAAUAUGGCCACUAAGAUGAUUGCGAAGUAUGAAAAGUAUUGGGAUGUUAAUCAUGGAGUUCUUGCAGUGAGGACUAUGUUAGAUCAUAGGCGUAAAAUGUUAUUGAUUAACUUUUAUUUCCUAAAAUAUAUGGGGAAAAAGCUAAAUCCGAAAUUGAAAGAGUGCAUAAGUUAUUUGUUGAUUUAGUGCAUGAGUAUGAAGCAAAGCAUCUAUCAAAUUCAAGUGGGCGGGUUAAUGGUUCUGCCAAUUCUCAAGCUGCUACAGGAGGGGAUUCUAUUAUGUUGGACUUGGAUUUGGAUAAAAUGGCUGAUGAGUGGACAUUAUUUAGAAAUGAAAACACAUAGAAUACUCAUUCCAAAUCAGAAUUAGAGCUUUAUCUUGAGGAGAGUACUUUGCCUUCAACUAGUCAAUUUGACAUUUUGUCAUGGUGGAAGAAUAAUCAAGGCAAAUAUCCUAUACUUGCAAAUAUCGCAAGGGAUUUCUUGGCUAUUCCUGUAUCAAGUAUCAACAGUUGCUUCGGAGUCCACUUUUAGCACUGGAGGUAGACAUUUGAGCCCUCAUCACAGUAGACUUCACCCAUCCACAGUGGAGGCAUUGGUGUGCACUCAAAAUUGGUUUUGGCUUGAACAAAACCUAAAAGGUAUGAAAAUUUUAUUUAUUAGAAUCAAAUAAUUUGUUGUAUUAUUCUUAUUAUCAAUUUAUCACUAAUUGGUUGUCUUGUUCAUUAUGUUUAUGAUUUACACAUUUUUUUAGAUGGAAUUUCAGAGGAAGCAAUACUUUCUGCUGAGCAUUUGAUUGAUGAAAGUUGGAUGAGCAAGGAACAGUAAAAUAAAGUGGAUGAUUGUGAGUUUAGUCUUUAGCACUAGUGGCUUGAAAUUUGAACUUUAAAUUGUAGAAUUAUGUUAUGGAUUUGUAUUUGUGGAUGUUUAUUACUUUAAAACUUUGAAUUUUAUAUUAUAUAUUUGUGUUGUAUUUAUUUUAGAACCUGGAUAUGUUAUAUGUUUUGUAUUUGAAAUUUUGCUCAACUGAAGUAAAGAAUUCUGGCUUGUAUUCAUUUUUUUUUCCUUUUUUCAGCAACUUAAGUAAAGCAAUCCAGGUUCAAAACUCGGAAUCCGAAAACCCGAUUUUUUCUAGGUUGAACCCAAACCGGACCCAGAUUGAAAAAACUGGGUUCAAAUACGGGUCCGGUAAUGAGAAUCUGUGUCCGGGUCCAGAUCUGAAACGGCCAAAACCAGACCCAGACCUGGAAAUGGCCAUCUGUACAUAUAUACAUUCCCACAAGACUAAGUGCAUGUUUGGUAUGACUUAUUUAAUGGUCAUAAGUACUUAUUUAAUCCCAUAAGCUCUUAUAGUAAUUUUUUUUGUUGUUUGAUUAAUUUUCUAAUAGAGCUUUUGAAACUUAAAUAAGCUAUUUUGUCUUUAGCAAAAGCUCAAAUUUUAAGCUUUUGAGAGUAGAGGUCAAAAUUUUUUUUUUAAAUAUUAAAAUAUCUAAAAUAUCUUCUACUUUUUUAAUUAUUUUAUUUUAUUCUUUUCACAACAUUACUUUAAAAAAUUUGCCUAUUAAAGUAAUUUGAUAAAUUUUUAAUAAAAACUCGUAUUAACAACUAAACAACUAAUUUUGUUUUUGUAAAAACUCUAUUUAUAAAAGCUCUACUAAUAAAAACUCUACUUAAAUAAGUUAUACUUGAAAAAUUAUACCAAACGAAGCCUAAGUCUUGAUGCCAGUGAAGUAUUAAUGAAGCCGCACUGACUAACAACAAUUCCCAAGUCUAUUAGAAAACAACAGUCCCUUACUCUUUACACUUGAGAUGACUCCAACUUAUCCAAAACCAAUUUAGUCUACCCUCUGGACCAACUCAAGCCUUUUUAUAUACAACUCCAGCAUCUGCUGCUGCAGCGUCCUCCCGUUGUCCCUCAAUCUCAUUCAAUUUCUCACCAUCCAUCACCCUCAUCCCAACAUCAAGUGCCGCGAAUCCAUUUCCCAUUCCCAGCUUCAACAUCUCCUGUCUUAGUAACUCACUCAAUCGUUUCGAAUCCAUCUUGUUAUUUACUUUCUCUUUAGCUUUAGUUGGAGAAUCACUUCGUUUUGCUGCUCCUCUUUUUAUUACCUUGUUUAGGCAAAGUUGGCUUAUUAUCUUGUACAGGCAAACCCAAAACCAUAAAUGGAGGGGGGUUGAAUUUGUCCUUAUUCGACCGGGACCGGGACACCCACCCACUCCUCUUACUCAGAGUAGGGCUAGGUUUUUUCGUUUCUGGGCUUUCACUAACGAUUGGCUUGACGAUGAUAUCGGAGGCAUUGAGAGACGAAGCUGUGUUUUCCGAGUACUCAUCUUCUGGGUCUAAAAUUGAUUCACAAUCUGUCAAAUGUGAUUUGGGUUUGUGCUCUUUAGUGGAGUCGAUUUGUUCUGAUGCCUUUUUCCUCGCCAGAGAAUGCGGAGGAGGGUGGUUUGUGGCAGGCUUUCUCUGAGCCAUUGAGAGAAUAAAUCACCGAUACAAACGAGAAAGAUGGAAUGAGGGAAUCAAUUUGGAGGAGUUUAGUUUAUGCAUUUUUUUUUUUUGUUAUGGCAAUCUUGAAAGCGCUUCAACAUAGUAGGACCCUUAUUUUUUAGUUUUUUUUUUUGAAAAAAUUUACAAAAAUAACCAUAAAACUUUUGUUAUUUUCACAAUUAACCCUCUCAACUUUUUUCUAUCAACAGUAGCCAAACACACACUUUUCUUCCCAAAUUACCCUUCUUUACAAACCAAAAGCAACAUUCUUUCUCCCCUUUCGUCAAACCAAAGACAGCUUUCCACUCUUGAAUCAUCAACCAACGGUGACGACAAAAGGCAACGAUAAAAGUGAAAUCCGAUCAUAAUCUAUCCGGAUCCAACACUAAUCAGCAUCACAUAGUGGUAUAAGUUAUUUUCUGAACUUGCACGAGAGUUUUAGUGAACUGCGAGUCGUGAGUGAAUCUGGCGACAGAUUGCCUAUCGCACGAAGAGGCAGAUUCAUUGCAACUAUAUUAAUUUGCUAUGGCUAAAAUAAUUUUUUUUUUUUUAUAAUUUCAGGCUUAAUGGAUUCAGUUGUUCUUGAAUUGUGUUACAAUGGUUGGUGGGAGACAUUAGAGGAUGCCCGUAUGGAGUAUGUGAAUGGUAAAAAUAGAGAUUUUUUUGUUGGGAAAAAUUGUCUGUUUGAUCAGUUAUUGGCAAAAGUAUACGAGGUGUUACAAAUAAACCCUAAUGAAUAUAGUAUCACAAUGAAGACAACUUUGUGUUCUAGUAACACAUUAUAUCGUAUAUGUGCACUGCCCAUGGAUAUAUUUGAUGAUGAAAUUGUGAGGGUUGUGUUGCAUAUGGCAUCUAAUGUAGCCAAUUUUGGAUGCAUUCCUAUAUUCGUGACCACAUCACCUCGAGUUCCGAACGAAUGUAUUGAGCCACAUGUCGAUACAGAAACUUCGUUUAGAGCAAAUAUGUCUGGCCCCGAUAAUGAAGAAGAGGUGUUGACAAGGACAAUAUCGCUGCAACAAUAUUACUCUCCAAUCCACAACAAUUAUGACAACAUUGAUGAUAACGACAUUACGUUACAGGAUAUUGGAGCAACGAUAUUUCCAAUAACAACGUCGUUGGACCAAUGGUAUUCUCCGUAUCACAAUAAUGAUUUCCGGGACAAUGAUGAUCUUCAUGAUGAGACAGAGGGGGAUAAUGUUUAUACAGAACCUUCUAAUAGUAUGAUGGGCAUUCAUUUCAAUAAUGAUGGUGAUGAUGAAGGAGCCGGUCCUUCGAAUAUUCCGUCGUUUCAGCAUGAGGAUGAGUGUGAAGACAAUACUCCUAUGAAUAACAUAAGCAAUAGACCUAUUCCUCCUAUGGUUCGAUCGAGAAGGAGAAUUGACCCCCUCACAAGUCUUGCUCCAACUUUGCCUUCGAACAUGGUUGCUCCAAGUUUUGUUAGCAGUUGUGACUCAGAUGAUAUCAGUGUGGGUAAGCUAUUUGCUGAGAAGAAUGAGUUUAUAUUACAACUACGCAAGGUUAAACUCUAAUCUAAGCCCGAACAUUAAAUACGUAUUCCAUAGCCUAUGCACUGUAUUGUUAUAAAAGAGCGCAAUCUUUAAUGCGUCCAUAUCGUCCAUUUCCUCGAAUUUCAACUUCUUAAAUAAUGCAUCGAAUUCCUUAAGAUUGAUCUUGCGAUGCACACCACCAAAAUACGUAUUCCGUAGCCUAUGCACUGUAUUAUUAUUUCUUAGUUCGGUAUCAACACCAUAUGAAAGUCCAGUAACCAGGCACCAUUCUACAAUUGACAAGCGAAUCAAAUGCUCACCAAUUUGAAACUAUAACUGAUCCUCACGGCUAUCUUCUUCAUGGGCCACUUGCCUCAGUAAAAGAUUGUGCAAAAUUACCCUACUAAAUGGAAAACUUCGAAAUUUCAAGAAAUGCCCAAAUAUAUCCUUCUUGAACAGAUUCAACUGCCACUUUGUUAAUUUUUCCUUGAUGGCUUUUACGACCGAAGAUAAAUUACACAUGCUCGAAAUUCGACCCGGAAAGUGAUCGGCAUAACAAAAAUACAUCCUGCCUACUUUGAUAUCCGACGAUUCUGAUUUCGCUUAAUUCAGUUUUAGGAGAAUAUGUGGUGAUGAGGAUGAGUUGGAGACAGAGGACCUGCUGUACCGUACAUCCGCCUUGGCCGUACAGCAGGUAUCUGUAAUAUUUAUAACAUUAUUACAUUGCAUUUACAACAAAAAUAAAUAAAUUGACUUGACGGAAAAAAAAAUUAUAAACCCACUGUAAUUUGGUGCGACAUGCAAAUUAUGGCUAACCUAGGUUUUGUUGAAGGUUGUAGAUGGUAGAUCAGACGCCGAUGAGGGAUGGAGCUGCCACCGACGAGUGCUGAAGUUGCCGCCGACGAUGAGAGGUUCUUUGGUUUGGGAGAGAUGGGAGAAAGAGAGAUUGGUGGGGGAGAAAUGAGAGAGAGAUGUAUUUUGGUCUCAAAUGCUUUUUUAUGGCUAAUGUUGAUAGAAGUUUGUUUGGAGGGUUAAGAUGGAAAAAGUCAAAUUUUUUAUGGUUAUUGGUGUAAAUUUCCCUUUUUUUUCUCCUCGGAACAAUUACAAACCCGCAUAAAACCCGAAUCUCACACGGAUUUAGUUUAAAUCCACAACUUAGUGCGGGUUUUGAUUUAUAAUACCAAAUUUAUCCGCAACUCACAAAAUUAUCUGAGCAAAUUUUUACGCAUAGAUUUAGACAGAUUUAAGAGUUUACGGAUACCAUUAUCAUACCUAUUCGGAUUUUUCCACGUUAAAAGAUUGGUCAACCACAAUAAAAUACAAUAAGGCAUAUUUACCAAAUAUAAUGUAAUAAUAUUUUAAUACUAGUUUUAAUACCAUAUGAUAAGUAGUGUUAAAGUUAAAUUACCAAAAAGACAAAUACAUCUCGGUUCGUUUAAACGGUCAAAUCAUUCCGUCUCAUUUGCCACGUCAUCACCAUAACCAACCAUUUUAACUUCAAACGUAUAAUCAUUGGUCGGCACCGGGCAACAACUCAGUGCCAAGGUCCAUUUCACUGGUCGGUGACGCGAUUUUCGUCACCUCCUUCCAACAGCAUUUUUGUGAAAAAGUAAAAAAGCCAGCAAAAUUGAACACAGAAAAAAAAAAGAAGGAAAAAAAAAAAGAAAAGAAAAGAAAAGGAUAUCACAAAGUUUGGCCAAUUUUUUUUUUUUAAAUAGACCCCACCAUAUUAAAAAAAAUACUCUUUAGUGAAUUUCUUUGAUCGGAAGGGAAUAUUUUACUUUUUACAUCAAUAUUUUAAUUUUUGAAAUAUACUUUAUAUUGAUAUUACUAUUUAUAUUUGGCUAUUGUAAGUACAAUGGAUAUUUCGUUCUCAAUAAUUUAAUUGAAUAAUUUUUAAAUAAUUUUAUUUAAUUAAUUAUUUGACUUCGAUUAAAAAAAAGAGAUUAAAAAAAUUAAUUUAAGUAGUUGGAUUGUAAUUACCAACAUCGACGAUAAUUUCAUAAUAUCAAAAAUAAUUACAAAUAGUAAUCCAAACAUUUAGUUUUUAAUUUAUAUCCCCAAACAUGGGAUCUAUUGGACUUACACACUUUAAUUAUUAAUUAUUAACAUUUUCUAUUACAUAUUUAAGGGGGGGAAAUGACUUAUUUAUUUAAUUUGGAGGAAAAAAAAAAUAAAAAACACUUUGACAGUUCAUUCUGACUGGAACUGUGGCAGUUAUAGACAGGAGCAGAAGGGGAGGCUGCCUUCAAAAGUACUUAAUAGCUUUUGAUAUGCUUUUUGCCAUGUCAACUUUCGGUACGUGUCAUUUUCUCUUUUCUAUCAGCUCAGCAGCCGACCUUUUGGCUUUUGUCUGUCGGCUUCGUAUUUUCAAAUUCCAUUUCAAUUUUUGUUCCAAAUUCUGAAAACUACGUGCAAUCUCGUUGUUUCGUAAUAUAAUGAAUAAAAACAAUUUUUCUUGUUCUUUGUCUUUCACAAAUACUACAUGGGUUCUGUUUUUUGUCAUGAUCUAGAACGUGGGUAGCUUUGAUUUCAUGUUCUUGUCCUAAAUUUUCAGUCUUUGAACAGGUCAGUUUUUAUCUCUGUCUUUAUUUUCCUUCUUGAAUUUCAUUGAUUGACUUGUUGUUUGUCAAUUGGUAUACACGAUCAUUGAUGUGAAUUGGAGUGAAUUAUGAUCUUAUUAUUGAUUCUCUAUUAGAAUUGAGUUUGUUUAAAUUUCAUUUAUUGACUGAUCUUCUUUACUUUUUGUCAACUCCUACUUGUCAUUUUAAUGAGGUUUUGAGUUUGUUCUGAAUUCUAAUAUAUGCUGAUCUCGUAUGUACCAUGAGUGUUUUUUUUUUUAAAUCAUUUUGAUCUGAUUGUUAUUGGAUUAACUUCUUAUCUGUUAGCGUUGUGUUCACGUAAUGUAAUUAAGUUUAUAUUUUCCAAAUUAAAAUAUGGUUUGCAAGCUUCUAAUUUGGGAUGAAUGGGAGACAUCAAGCCAGUGGGAUAUUUAUAGGUGAGAAAUUGGUGCAUAUGUUUUUGAUUCGAGGCCUGCGCUAGAGUUUUUAUCGAUUUGGAACUUCCAUGGGAAAUUUGUCUAGGUCCAGUUUUGAUAUUUGUUUAAUUCUUUGGAUAAAGUGCUUUUGAUGAGGUUUUGUGGCUCUUCAUCAUAUUCGCUUUGUUCUAUGUAUGAGUCUUAAUACUUUGGCCAGAUUCCAAUAAUGAAUUAUAUACUGCAGCUGUUGGUGUUGGAUUGACUUGCUGUUUUCCUCCUUUUCUGUUUGUUUAGCUUUCAGUUGGGGGGAGGAGAUUUGGGCGGUUCCUUGAAUUGUUCCUGGUUCUAACUUUGUUCUGUUUGUUAAUUAUGAUUACAGAUUUGAUCACAUCUUGGAUAUUUGAUAUUGUUCUGGGAGGAUUGGAGUUCUGUGUGUUCCGAGCAACUAAUACAUCAUAUUUGAGGCUACUUAAGCAUUCAAGCGCAAUAGGGAAUGGCUGCCAGGGAAAAUUCAUCUGUGAAACCACAGAAAAUUUCCCAUGGUUUUGUCAGAGCUUUGGGAUCAGCUGCUCUUGAGUGGUUGCUGAUAUUUUUAUUGUUUAUUGAUGCCAUAUUCUCAUACCUAAUCACUAGAUUUGCCCAUUAUUGCGAGUUGCAAAGGCCGUGCCUGCUAUGCUCGAGACUUGACCAUGUUUUGGGCAAUGAAAAGUUAAAUCCUUACAGGGAUUUGAUCUGUGGCAAGCAUAGGUUGGAGAUUUCAUCCUUAGUUUUAUGUCAUGCUCACAAUAAACUUGUAGAUGUCCGUGGAAUGUGUCAGAAUUGUCUUUUCUCGUUUGCCACGGUUAACAGAUCAAUCACUGAAACAUACAGGUUAUUGGUGGGUAAGGUGGGGGAUGAUUCUAGCUUUGGAUCUGAUGAGGAUCCAUUGCAUGAAGGUCAUAAAAACAGUCAAUCUAGUAUAAGACAUUGUUCUUGUUGCAAUGAACCAUGGACUGCAAGAGGGAAUGUCCAAAAAAUGAUACAUAGCAAAUCAAGUGUGUCUGAGCCUGCUGAAGUCAAUGUUCAUUUGUCGGAUGCUGAUGAACAUAACCAGCAUUUCGAAAAGCGAAUUGAAAAACCAUCAGUGGUGCUAAGAGCUACUCAUCCGAAAAGUUAUGGGCAAGAUCCUCUGUCCCAUGUAGAGUACACAGAGCUGAAGGUUGCUUCCGACACUGAAUCUGAAGUCCUUUUGUCAGAUGAUGAUGCUGCAUGUGCUCAAAUACGUGAAAUUAAUUGUCCCAAGGAAGAUCUUGCAGCUCAAUAUGUGCAGCUAGAGCCUCAUGUAAUCAUCCCGUCUCACGAUUCAGCUCAAGAGAAUCUGAUAGAUCACGUUUCUGCUCCUGAGCCUUCACUUACAGCUUCUCAAGUAAAUUCAGACGUUGUUGAGCUCCAUAGUGGCAUAUCUGUAGCCUCUACUACUGCAGUUGGAGAUGUAUUGGAGGACCUAAAUUGGGAACAUGUUGACAUCAAGGCUGAUCCUUCUGCAGUUACUAAUCUUAUUUCCCUUGAUGAUGUUCCCCCAUCACCAAAGGCUGAGAAAGCUUCUAUUGAUAUAUCCCAUGAGAGCAAGCUUAUAUCUGUUGAUGACAUCUCCACAUCAUCGAGUGCAGGGACUAAUUAUGCAGACGUGUCGAAAGAAAACAUGCUUAUUCACCUUGAUAUCCCCCAAUCAUCAAAGUCCAGGGAAUCUCCCCUUGGUAUUUCUAAAGAGAGCAAGCUAAUUUCCUUUGAUGAGGUCUCUCUACCAUCUAAUGCUGUUGAAUCUUCUGUUAAUGUAUCGGAGCAAAACAAGCUUAUUUCCGUCCACAAUGCCUCUCCAUCAGCAAUUGCUGAGAGAGCUUCUAUUGAUGUAUCAAAUGACAGCAUGCGUAUUUCAGUUGAUGAUGUCUCACCAUCAUCAAAUUCAGGGAAUAUUUCUAUGGAUGUCUCAAAAGAGAAUCAGCUUAUUUACCAUGAUGUCCCUCCACAAUCAAAGUCCAUAGAAUCUUCGAUUGAUGUUUCCCAAGAGAGCAAGUUUAUUGCCAUUGAUGAGGUCUCUCUACCAUCAAACGCUGUUGAAUCUUCUGUUGAUGUGUCAGAGUGCAAGCUGGUAUCCCACAAUGAUGCCCCUCCAUCAUAUGGUGGGGAUAGUCAUCCUGAAGUUUCAAAAGAUAGCAGAUGUAAUUUCCUUGAUGAUGGCCUGCAAACAUCUGAUGCUAUGGAAUCUCCUUCGGAAGCACAGAAAGAGAGCUGUAAGUUCAAGCUUUUCACUUUUUUCUACUUUUUUUAUCUGACUUAUGGAAAUUGCAUAUUAAUUCCUUGUAGCAUCUAUAAUGAGUGUGAUACAUCUCCUCCCACCCUUAAAUUUCCCAUGGAAUAGGGCCUUGAAGUAUUUAUUCUACUCAUGCUAUGGAGUUUCCAAUUGAAUAUUCAUUGUUUGCCUGAACUGCUGUAGGCAUUUAUGACUAUCAAUUUUAACAAUUUUUCCUGUAUCAAAAUUUUCUUUUUCUAGGUGCUACAAGAAGUGUUGAACUUAAGGAGACAGAGCGUGAAGAAAUCCGUGAAGCUGGAAGUGUGCCGAGCACAUCAAAUGGAACAGCUACAGAAAGAAACCCUGUUUCAAGUGAUACUGCUGCACUGGCAUCCAAUUUAUUGGAUCUCAGUGAUGCGUAUAAGGUAGCUGUUGGCAGUAGAGGUAGACAGUUGUCUGGUGUGCUUGGUGAACAAUGGUUUGGGAGGGAUUCUUCCAGACUUAGUGAAGAUCUAAAGCUUUUGUUGUCACAACUAUCUGCUCGAGGAUUUGACCAAUUGCUAUCAGAUAUGAGUCCUAGAAUUCGUGCAAACAGUGAGGAAUUGAGGAGUUCUGAUACUUCUAGUUCUAAUGGAAUGAAAAUACUUCAAAAAAGGAUUUCACUUGAGAGAAAUGAGUCUGGUUUUGAAUCUCUAGAUGGAAGCACUGUCAGUGAAAUCGAAGGUGAAAGUGCGGUAGAUCGGUUGAAACGACAGAUCGAACAUGAUAAGAAAUUAUUGAAUGCUGUGUAUAAGGAAUUGGAGGAAGAAAGAAAUGCUUCCACGGAUGCUAUAAAUCAAGCAAUGGCCAUGAUUACUAGACUGCAGGAGGAGAAAGCAUCACUUCACAUGGAAGCCUUGCAGUCCCUCAGAAUGAUGGAAGAGCAAGCUGAGUAUGACAUGGAAACACUGCAAAAAACAAAUGACCUUCUAGCCGAGAAGGAGAAAGAGAUUCAAGAUCUAGAAGAGCAGCUUGAAUAUUAUAGAAAGAAGUACCCAAAUGACUCGAUGUUGGAAAGCAUUUUGGAGCUAAAUCCCGGCUUCAAAGAGAAAGAGAUUAGGAUGGAUCAUUCGGAAACUACAUGCGUUCAUGAAAGUGAAAAUUCUAAUAACAACUUGGUGAUCAAUAGUCCCAAAAAAGAUAUGUCAUCUGAGGACAUGAAAACAGUAUCUGUAAAAAAUUGGGUGUUAGAAUUUGAAGAUGAAAAGAAUUAUAUUUCAGAAAGUUUGAAGAAAUUGGAGAAGAAGCUUUAUAUGUUCUCAUACAAUGGGCUGUACUCGGCAGACUUGGCUAAUGGUGGAAAUUCUGGAAAUGCAGUAGAUGAUGUAAAUGACUCCAAAGAACUCAACUGUAAAGGAGAUUCUGAUGUGCAUUGCGGGACAGAAGGGAAUGACUCGUCGAUGCUGAAUAAAGCAUGUGAAUCAAAAGGGAGUCCGCAUGACCAGGGAUGCAGUUCCUCACUUGAAAAACCUCAGAUCAGUGGCAAGGACAUUAGUGAAAUGGAUUGUGGUGAGAAAAUCUCACCUGCGCUUUGUGAGGGAACAGAUUUGGUUUCUCUUGAAAAUGAGAUUUCUGAUCUGAACGAGAGGUUGGAAGCACUUGAGUCGGACCAGAACUUUCUUGAACUCACGAUUAACUCGCUUAAAAAAGGAGAGGAUGGUGUUCAAUUCGUCCAGGAGAUAGCUUAUCACUUGCGAGAAUUACGAAGGAUCGGGGUAAGAAGGAGCGAAGAAAAUGUUGUUUGAGGAUUAAUGCAUAUUCAACUCAAGGGUAAGAACUUCAAACUCCUCUUAUACACGCCUACGUAAUACACAUUAACAUAUCCCUUUCCGCAAGCUUUCUACUUCAACCUAAGUUCUUGUUUUUUAUUCAUCAGAUUGACGCAACACAUCGAUGAUCCAGAAAGAGGUCUCAAAUAUAACACGGCUCAAAUAAUGAAGACUGGCAAUCAAUUGUACAGAAUUCACAGCAUGUUUCUCCACAUACCAAGAAUACAAAAUAGAGCUUCAGUUUAUACAGUGUGCUUCUGUUUUUAUUUCUCCUUUUCAUUUUUUUCAUUUCAGAUUUUCUUUUCACUAGCUAAAUUAUUUUACAAGUAGAGUGCUAUCAAUUCAAAGAUUUGGUUUCUUUUUUUUUUUUUCCCCACAGCAUAUCUUUUCUUAAUUGCGAGAUUGGAUGAGUGAUUGCAUUUGCUUUGUACAAGUUUUUGUGUAAAGUUAGCAGUAUUUUGUACAUUAAAAGGGUUGAGAUUAGCUGUUCAACCUGAUGUUUUUUACAUUAGAACAAAUGAUAUAUUUUACAUGUAAAUCUGAUUUGCUCCUUUGAUUCCUUUUAGCUAUUGUUAAUUUACUUCUUGUAAUUAGCUUCAUGGCCAUAGACUUGUACUUAAAUGAUUAAAUUUAAUUACUAAAUGAAUAAUGUUAUAGCUAAACUCUUGGAUAAAUUAUUUUUUAUAAAUUAAUGUGUCAUUUUAUGAUUGAUUGGAUGGAAUAUAAAAUAAAAAAAAUCAUGUGGGUCAUGAGCAGUUUUUAUUCUUCAAAUGCUUCCACAUCAAUUUAUGCAAAAUAAUUGGUAAGCCUAUAACUAUAUUAUUUGCUUUGUUUCACUUGUUUCUGUUGUACUUUUACUUUAUUGUCGACUUAAUUAAAGGAAAGAUAAAGCAGUACAUCUGUAAAUUUGGGCUCCAUCCACCAAGCCCCCCUGGGCACCGAACCCCCUUUACUUGUCUUGUAAUGAAGGCACCGUUGGAUGAAAAGGAGGAAGAUCGUGGAAGUGGGAAAUUGCCAGGUGGCAGUUGACAAAAACCGGGAGUAUAAGUCAAUAGACAGGAACUGUUUAUGGUGCAAUAAUUUUAUUAAAUGGAACAACAAAUAUGUUGAUAUAGACAACAAUAAAGUAGUUAGCUGGAGCAAUUAUAUGUAGAAGCAAGUAGUUUGUCGGAGACAAUUUUAUGUACGUUAUAAACAAAUAUUUUGUUGGAAGAGGCAUAUAAGUGUGGUUACUGUAGCACAGAAAAUGAAAUGAGAUCAAUUGAUGUUAACUAAAUAAAAAAUGAAGCAUAAACGAAAGGAUAGGAAGUAGAUGUAGUUGAUUAGAUGUGUUGAGAAUACACUCGGAGCUGCAAAAUCCGGCAGGGCCACAGUAAAUGGAGCAAAAAAUAAUCUAGUAUGUGGAGGGAUGAAAUGGAUGAAUUGGCGAAUUGGUAGGAAGCAUCAAAAAAAUUGAGAGCCGCAGUUGGCUGACCAUUUGUGGCAUUAGUUCUACAAAUGGGCAAAUGGGGGAAGGAAGCUUGUGUAAGUGGCAUUAUUUGUAGUGUAUGGAAAUAAUGGGAAAACAAUGAAAAACAAUUACAACACAACAAGUAAUACUGAAAUAAAUAGAAAGGAGAGAAAAAAAAAUAGAAUGAAAAUAAAGUAUAACUGCAUAGAUAGUGAUUUUUUUUAAAAAAAAAAAAAAAAAGAGGGAACAAAUUGUAGAGUGGAGAGGAGGGAUAUAUAAUCAGAACAAUGGCGGAUUAGAUUGUGUGAAAUUUGCAUGAGUCUGAAGAAGUAUAAAUUGGAUUUGAAUAGAAUUUGAACUGAUCUGUGGCUAGGAUUUGAAUAUCAAGUGAAAAUACGAAAAAACAUGUAGCAAAUAAAGAUUGGCAUGGAAGCAAGAUAAUCAGUUCGAAAAGCAGGAGCUAUGGAAUUGACGAUAGCUAGAAAACCCAUGCAUGUCAGUGUUGUUACAUGGCUAUCACCAUAGGUCCACAACCGUGACUUGAAAUAACAAAUAUCUCGGAAAGUGGGUGAUUGCUUAAGACGUGAACGACCAAAUGCCCAUCAUCAUUUUAUUUAUUACCAUGAAACUGCACUUUAUAGCGCCAUAUAAAUACAUUCGAUAAUGCACAAAACAAAUACAUGUCCAUUACAUUGGCAGCCCCAAAAUUAAAAAAUAAUAAUAAUAAUAAUAUAUAAUGCUCAUUUCCAAUGAAAUCAAUAAAUCAUAUCUACAACGGACUAUAACCCAUAGACAUAAUGCAUCCGAUUCACUUCUUUCCAUUAUUUGUUGCAAUUUCACUUUCUGAUUUUCCACACAGAUUCAUUGAAAAAACUUAACAACUCUAAAGUUACUAUGGAACUUUCAAUCAUACAUUUGAUUAUCAUUACAUGUACUUACAAAGAUACAAAGCAAAUAAAUAAAUUAAUCCCUUGAUCAUUAUACAAGUGCAAAAAAUUGUGAUAUAAAUUUAGGAAAAUCAGUUGGGUGAAAAUUGAUAAUUAAGACGCGAUGUGCUUCUAAGAAGUUGAAGCUGAAUAUAUAGUCAGCAUAAAGAUAAAUAAACGGGACGCCAAACACCACCAAUACAAUGAAAUUACAGAGCAAAACAAUUAUUUUUUUCUCAUCAAUCCUGCUGCAUUAAAUGGGCCCAGUUGAACUGCUGGUAAUAAUCCCUAAAUCAAUUUGAAAUCGAUGCCCUCUACUCCACAAUUUUACCCUAAAUCUCACUUCCCAGUAGGUUUACUAACAAAAAUUCACUAUUCAACUCAUGCAUUUCAAUUUCAGCUUCCACUAACCUGAUAUUUUAUUGCCGUGAUCUCUUCUCCCUCUGUUUCGUUUGAUGCUACCAGAAGAAAAUUAAACUCAACACGAUCCACUUCAUAAAUCCAAGUGUAAAACAAAAUAUAAAUUAUGUAAAUAGAACGUAAGAAUUGUAAAUGAAAGGUAAAAUAAGUAAAUUAAUAUAGGAGUGGUAAAUUGAUAAAUAUAAAAUAAAACUUAUAAAUCAAUAUUAAGUGUAAAAUAAAAAAUAAAUUAAGUAAAUAAAACAUAAGACUUGUAAAUGAAAGGUAAAACAACUAAAUCAACAUCAGAGUGGUAAAUUGAUAUAUUAUUGGUAAAUAAAAUAAAAAUCUACAAAUAUAAUAUAAAACUUGUAAAUCAACAAUAAAUAUAAAAUAAAUGGAACAUAAGACUUGUAAAUAAAACUGCUGUACGGCCAAGGCGGAUGUACGGUACAGCAGUUUUUUCACUUUAUAAUUAAAAAUUUUAAAUUUUAAAUUAAAAUUAAAAUAAAAUUAUAAUUUAAAAUAAUUCACUUCCAAUAAUGAGAUUUUUAUUUUUAUUUCAUACUUUUCUUACAGUAUAAAUAAACAACCUACCCACACCCUAAUCGCAACAUGCUCACUUCUCAAUAUUUCCUAAUUCAAUUCUACCUUAUUUCAGUUUGAAUAAGCAACUGACUCGUACUCUUACUCUGCACCCUCUAUUCUAAGUUUCCCGUUAGUAGGAUUCCCAAAGACUAAAAGCUACGUUAGAGAGUUUUGUGAAAAAAAUAAUAAAUAAAUAAAACUUUGUACGAAUUACAGUACGAAAAAUAUCAGCGGUAGGAAUUGACAAACGCAGAGAAAGUAGCAGCCAAGCAAAAGAAGCGGCAGCGGCAGCAGCAGCAGCAGCGGCAAAGCAAACUAAAAUGCAAAAGCUUGACGGCGCAGUGUUUUCGAAAAACACAGAAUCUGUUUUCGCUGCUUCCACCAAUUUCAUCUUCAAUCCUUCUUCAUAUUCUUCGAAUAAGUCUAGGCUCCGAAAGCCACCCAGAUUAAACUUUUCUUCAAUGUAUAAAAAAACCAACAGCGGCAACAUUAACAAGUCUCAUCAGAAUCCCGUUUUAAUGGCUUGCCAUGCCUCACGCGAUUCUAACGAGACUUCCCCUGCCAGGUCCGUACUCUCUCUAUUCACCUGUUUGUUAAUUGUUGUUUGGAGAAUUCUUAAUUUGUUUUGCCACAAUGGAUGAUGAGUUAAGUGGGUAUUUGAUUUGUUUAUUUACUUGUUAUUUAACAUGGGAAUUCUGCAAAUUGAUUGUAAAUAUAGGAAGGAUGAUUCAUCUGUUCAUGGGUUAUCUGAAACGAUUGUUGGUGUUUUGGGGGGAGGGCAAUUGGGUCGUAUGUUAUGCCAAGCGGCUUCACAGCUGGCCAUUAAAGUUAUGGUUUUAGACCCACUUGAAAACUGCCCUGCGAGUGCUCUUUCAUAUCAUCACAUGGUUGGUAGUUUCGAUGACAGUGCUACGGUUCAGGAAUUCGCUAAGAGGUUUGAUUUUAUGGCCGAGCUAUUGUCUUUCUAGUGUUUGUGGCAAGAAAUUGUUUGCAUUGCUGAUUUCUUGCUUGGUAGUUAGAUGUGGAGUUUUGACAGUUGAGAUUGAACAUGUUGAUGUUGCCACAAUGGAGAAGCUUGAACAACAAGGAGUUGACUGUCAACCUAAAGCCUCUACUAUUCGGAUAAUCCAAGUAUGUCUUUCUUCAUUUAUCCAACAGUUUGGCUUCAUGAUAAUGUUUUGCUUCAAGCAUUCACAGAGUCCUCUUGUAUGGUUGACAGCUAUUUCUAUGAAUUUUCAACUAAUUUUACCCUAAAUUCUACUUCUUGCCAGUGUUUAUUCUUGCUUUUUUGAUGUUAAAGAUAACUCUGUUCUGAGCUUCAUCUGUGGAUUCUGUUUUACAGGAUAAGUAUCUUCAGAAGGUUCAUUUUUGUCGGCAUGGCAUUCCGCUUCCUGAGUUUAUGGAGGUUGGUUUUUAUUAAUAACACCUCCAUACUUCCUUUGGGCAUUUCUGAAUCUGAUUAUUAUCGAGAGAAAUUUAGUUUCAGAUUUUGAUUUAUUGUUCAUAAUAUGACUGCUUCAGGUAAAUGAUCUUGAAAGUGCCUGGAGAGCAGGUAAACAAUUUGGCUAUCCUCUUAUGGUUAAGAGCAAAAGGUUAGCCUAUGAUGGGCGUGGGAAUGCUGUUGCAAAGAGUGAAGAGGAGCUGUCUUCCGCCAUAACUGGUAAAUGCUCAUUUAAAGAUAACUGUCUGAAUUUGAUAUAGAUGGUUUCGUUACAAUUCAGUAGGCAUGUAAUAUUCUGCUUAUCUUUACUUGCACUUUUUACCUCAUCUUGAUAGCUGUUGUACCCAGGUAUUGGUAUCCAAAUGGUAUGCUGGUACAAAUAUACUGUAAUUUUCUUAUAAUAAAAUUUCUUUUUUCGUUGUUUUAAUAUCAUCUGCCCUACUUAGAAAAACACUACCAUAUGCUGAAGGUUGUGUAGCAAGGCAGUGUUAGGUAGCAAUUGUUUUGUCUAAAGAUAGUAUACCUUCAAUUAAUUUUCUAGUUUGUCUUUGCUUGUCCUGAGUUUCUGAAGUCUGUCUAAAGAUGCAUUGCUGUUGCUUUUAGUCUAGUCAGUCCAAUCCUGUCCAAGUUUUCAUUUCUUCUGCAUGUUAGCAAUCUUUUAUAUCUAUUUGUCUUAUUGUUGCUGUAUUACAUAAGUUUUUGUUUGGUUUGAUUUACAAAAUGUUGGUAACUUGUUUGUCUUGCGUAUGGUGUUACUUGGUUUCUAGCUUUGUGGUUUUGGUUUUGCAUAAAAUUUGGCAUCUGGUGGUAUAGGUGUAUAAUUUGAAAUAGUGGAUGGUUCUUUUUCUCAGUGAUUUUAAACGCUCAUUUUUCCUAUUUUUCAGCUCUUGGAGGAUUUGAUCGUGGUUUAUAUGUUGAGAAAUGGGCACCCUUUGUCAAGGUCAGUGUCUGACAUGCACACUUAAUUGUUGCUUCAGAUCUUUUUCAUCUUCAAUAAAUUUUCAACCCACAAUCCUUUACUUUGCGCCUUAAAUUAUUUGUUGGUUAAAAUGUAAAUAUUAUUUUUUACUGUCAUCUAUGUGACUAUAGUUACCUUAUAUAUGCAUAAGAAACUACUUCAAAAAAUUCAGAACAGGGUUUGACAGUCAUUUUCCUCCUGAAAUAGGAUUAUUUAAUCAUUUGCAAAAUUCACCAUAGUACUAGUGUUGGUGUCAAUCAUAUAAUGUUCCACUACUAGUAGAGCCACUUGUGUAAUUCAAGUUCAUUAGGUUUUUCUAUUAUAUUACUGUUAAGUUUUUAUAAGCGAACAUUGUUAAUUCAAAAGUUACUAGUAUUCGAGUUUGAUUUUAUUUUCAUUAUUGCUAAUUUUUUAAUUUUGUAUUUCAAUGUGACAUUUCCUUUAUACACUUUUUACUGUUAAAGUUAUCUCACAUGUUCAUAACAAGAAAAGAAGCUAUUUAAAAAAGCUCUUACUUGGUCUGUUUCUUUUUCUUUAUAUAGCUUGAACAAUAGAACAUGUGAUGAUGACAUAGAUUCCGUGGUUUUGUAAUUUUAAUGAUUACAGGAGCUGGCUGUCAUUGUGGUGAGAGGAAGAGACAAAUCUAUCUUGUGCUAUCCUGUUGUUGAAACAAUUCACAAGUAGGUUCUAAGUUCAACCUUCAUAUUAUUUGGUUAUAUCCAAUCUUUUGUCUUCAAUGAGUAAAUUACGAAAUGAAUUUGAUGACGCUUUUGAAUUGGGAUCCUAAUCUUGCAGAGAAAACAUAUGCCACAUAGUCAAGGCACCUGCUGCUGUGCCAUGGAAAAUCAGUGAACUUGCUACUGAUGUUGCUCACAAAGCUGUUAGUUCACUGGAAGGUGCCGGUAUAUUUGCAGUGGAAUUGUUUUGGACAAAUAAUGGGCAGGUAAUAAUUUUGUAUCUUUCAUCAUUUUUGCUUGACACAUUUAUUUCUUUAAGUGCUAUGUUAGCUUCCUGAAGUUAUUGAUUUUGACCAUUUUGUUUUUUCAUUUACAUGGAAACAGAUUUUGUUGAAUGAAGUAGCUCCUAGACCUCACAAUAGUGGUCAUCACACAAUUGAGUCUUGCUACACCUCGCAAUUUGAACAACAUAUGCGGGCUGUUGUAGGUCUUCCGCUUGGUGAUCCAUCAAUGAAAACUCCGGCAGCUAUCAUGUACAAUUUACUUGGUGAAGCUGAGGUGAUAUUUCGGUUUUGUUUUUACAAUUUUACCUCCAAAUCCUAUGCCUCCUCAAAAUCCAAUGCCUAAAUCUUUUGCUCUUUCGUGUCAUAUGGUUGGAUUGCUUUAUAAUUUCUCUUGGUGUGUGUUUGUGCAUGCAUGACUGUGUGCUUUAAUUUUAGUCUUGUGGUUACCACAUCAUUCUAGAAGAUAAAACAUUUAACUAAAUGUUGAUUGUCAUGGUAGGGAGAGCGUGGCUUCUACUUAGCUCAUCAAUUGAUUGGAAAGGCGUUGUCUAUCCCAGGGGCUACUGUUCAUUGGUAUGAUAAGCCAGGUCAGGUUUUGUUUACUUCUUCCCAGCCUCGUUUUUAAUGUCUCAUCUUGUCUCUCUAUCUCUUCCCCACACAUAAUUAACAAUUAACUGUGUUGUUAUAAUCAUCCCACAGAGAUGCGGCAACAGCGGAAGAUGGGCCAUAUAACUAUUGUUGGAUCUUCUAUGGGCCUGGUAGAAUCACAUUUAAAUUCGUUGCUUAAAGAAGACAGUUCCGAUUGCCAGUUUAAAAGUUAGUUGCCUCUGUGAUGGCUUGAUAUUUAUAACAAAUAUUCAUGUUGUUGGUGGACAUGUUUGAUUCAAGUUUUUCUGAUAUACUCUGGUUUUCUUCAACCGUCUUCAUGAUUUUUUUUUUUUUAAUCUUUUGGGUAAAUUGCAAGAAGAACAUGACUUUGUGAAGUAAAUUAAAUAAAGUAGGUGUAUGUUUCUCGGUUAUACUAUUAUUUUGAUUUUUUUGCUGAAACUAAUUUAUUUGCCUUCAAGUUUGUAAAUGGCAACAAGUUUUCCCCCAUUUUGGAAAUUUGAUUUCAAACUCCUUGUAGUUUUGAAUUCUUGUAGUUGAUCAGCAUUGGCAUUUAAGUAAUAUAUAAUUUCCUUACGAAGUUUCUUAGUUGAGUAGGUUUUUUAUUUCAAAUUAGGAAGUAGAUUUCCUUAUAUUUGAAUUCCUAUUUUAUUUUAGGGUUUUGGCUACUAUAGAUAGGGCCCUGUGUUUCAUUUUCAAGGAAGUCUUGAUGAUUAUUGGAAAAAAAAAAAUAUGUUUUUUUUUCCUCAGCUUUCUUGAAUUUCCUCCGCUUUCUUUAGGUUUCUCUGGGCUCCUCUAUCAGCUAUAUAUGUUAUCACUGGGGGAGAACCUGUCCUACAUCAGUACCAAUACAUUUGGACUGUAUCAUUACAUUUGUUUAAGAGGAUUGAUGAUGCAAUUUGCUUGGGUUUUGUGCUUACUGCCACUUGGAGCAUGAUGCAAAUUGCUUCCUAUUAUUUGCUUACAGCAGUCCUUCCACGCAUUGGGAUCAUCAUGGGCUCAGAUUCAGAUCUUCCUGUAAUGAAAGAUGCUGCAAAGAUCUUGACCAUGUUUAGUGUUCCUCAUGAGGUUUGUCUCAUGUGAUUUAAAAGUUAUAGUCUUGCACAUUCCGUUUCUACCUGACCUUUUGAAGUACAAAAAUUGUGUUUCCAGGUUAGAAUAGUAUCAGCCCAUCGAACUCCUGAUUUGAUGUUUUCUUAUGCCUCAUCUGCUCAUGAGCGAGGCAUUGAGAUCAUUAUUGCUGGUGCUGGUGGUGCUGCCCACCUACCAGGCAAGUUAUAAGUUAUGAAUUUGAUCCAUAUGCUGGCCUAGUGCACAAUUAUGUGGGGUCAUGAAACUUUUUCUUUAUUUUAGGUAUGGUUGCUGCGCGUACUCCCUUACCUGUCAUUGGUGUCCCUGUGCGUGCUUCAGCUUUGGAUGGACUUGAUUCACUAUUAUCAAUUGUGCAGGUAGACUUUUGUUUAACUAGUAAUAUUCACGUUUAAUGUCUGGGAUACUGAUAAUUUAGCCCAUUUUCUAGUCUGAGAGUAAGAUGUGCCCAUUUUCCUAGUCUGUUGCUUUUCUUAGAUUACUUAUUCUUCGUUUUCUCUUUCUUUCGACUGAUAAGGAGCUAUGUAUAUUGUAGUUCCUUUUCAGUGUGUUAAGAAGCAAUCUUCUGUAUGUUAUUACUCUUAUAACAUAUUUUUCUUCUUUAUAUGACAUACUUUCUAUUAUAGCAACAGGAAUAGAGCAAUUUUGUUGGGUUAAGGUUAUUUGGACAUAAUUUUCAUGAUAUCAAGAGAAUGCUGAAGUGAGGGCAUCACGUGAAUGCUUAUUUAAUCCGAUAGAUUAUGUGCAGUUGUUUCCGUUUUCAUGUCUAGUUAUAAAGCUGCACGGACGAAGUAUUACUUGCAUCGUUUUCCUCAAAAUGACAUUUAAUUUGCUAUUUUAAUCAUUUUUCCAUUUUCCCCUUCAACUUGUCUCUCUAAGAAGUUGCGUAACGAUUUUCUGUAUUGAUGACGCAGAUGCCGCGAGGUGUUCCAGUUGCAACAGUUGCAAUCAAUAAUGCAACAAAUGCAGGUCUGUUGGCUGUGAGGAUGUUAGGGCUUGGCGAUGCAGAUCUUCGGGCAAGGUUAGCUUCUCUCUAACUCCCUUUAUGUUUGUAAACAAUGCAAAUCUGAUUGCUUUUGCACAUGUCAUGUGCAGAAUGCAACAAUAUAUGGAAGACAUGAGAGAUGAUGUCUUGACCAAAGAAGAGAAGCUACAAAAAGAUGGUUGGGAAUCAUAUUUAAAUCAUUGAUGUGUUUCUGAGAUCAUUUUUUUUUUGUCUUGUUAACCCAUAACUGCAUAAUGUAAAAAAUUUUCAAGUCAUUUAACCCGUGUCAGCAACGUUAUUAACAUUUAGCAAGAUGGGCAUAAACUAGUCUGACAAAUGCUCGUGGAAACUUAGUUUGAUGUCGACGAGAAAAAUGAACAAAGAUUUAGGUUAGCUGGGGUGGGGUAAACCGGUAAAGUGCAAGGGUUGUAUGUGAUUCUUUUGGUAUAACAGCUGGUUCAUCACUAGUUCAAUUGAUGAUCUGAUACGAAUUUUGUCUGGAGUGUGUGUGCCUUAUUUCGUUGAUGAUUUGUAAUGACUUUCUUUGCAUUUGUGCCGCAAAAGUAUUGAGCCUCUGGUUUCUAUCAAUUCAAAAUCAUAGCAAUUGUAUCAUUUUUGCAGGGAUUGGAUUUUAUGCUCAUAUGCCCUUGUUGGGGUCUGAAAUCGGUAUAAAAUUAUACCAAUCAUGACCGUGUAUAUGUGCACAAUAAGCUAACUAUGGUCAUUGCUUCAUUGGUCAGAUUGUAUAAUUUGUGGUUUUCGUUCAAACUAUAGUUUAUAUGAUUGUAACAUCUGCAAGUGAAAGUUUUAUUUUGCGAAUUGGUGAAAAAGUAACUAAAUAAAUUAUCUAACCAUAUAAUAAAUUGUAGUUACAAAAUAAUAUCUAAGACAAUUAAUAUGCGACAAAACUCCAAAAUAAAUCCGUAAACAAAGAUUUAAAUAUGAGCGAUUUUUUCUGUGCAGAUAUACAACACUUGUUAAUUCUUGCUUCGGUUAACACCAGACAACUAAGCUCUAACUAGAUGCCCAGGUUGCUCAUUAGUCAUCUUUAAACCAACAAUUUGUGAAAUCCAGAAUCGAAACGACAAAUGAGCAAUUGCCACCUGUGAAAAAUAUCUCAUCACCCCAAUCUGUAACUGGGUCCCAUGUGUAAUCCUCAAGAGGACUAUUGUUGAGCUAUGUUACCACAAUUACACAAUUUAGGGAAACCCUUUGAAGUCGAAAAAUGUAAGCAUGAGGCUUCAGAUGUUGAAUUUGGGGAGCUCCAGCGGCAUGCCUGCUGAAAGAUGUAUUUAAUUUUUCGGUUAAUAUGCUAUAAAAUAAGCAUUAGCUAGUAUAUAUUAGCACAUAUAAUGUAGAUCUGUACUGGAGAAUGAUUAUAUAUGAUGUAAAUCGCUAAAUUAUUUUGUUUUUAAUUACACCAGAAAUUGCAAUAAGAAAUUUGAAAUUUGUGAAUCUCACCUUUCAAAUUUUUUUUUUUUUUUUUGGUAAAUCGUUGAUUCGAUAAUAUCAUCAGUUUUUGCUUUAUCUUCAUCUCCUCAUUCUCCUUUGAUCACUUUAACCCUGAUUUUUAUUUAAAAUAUCAUUUUGAGGAAAACAUAUAUGCAAAGUUUUGCUGUUUGAAAAAUGAUUUCUUAUGUUAAAUUUAAGAGUAAUGAUACAGCCACAAACUCUUGUACAAACUUAUUUUGUACAAACUGACGUGGCAUUAAUUCAUUGGUUGAAUGAAAAUAUAAAUUAAUAAAAACAAAUCAUGUGGGCCAAGUGAUAUUUAAUUCAACUAAUCUUAUCAUGCCACAUCAGUUUGUACAAAAUAAGUUUGUACAAGAGUUUGUGGCUAUAUCAUUACUCUAAAUUUAAUAGUCUCUAGCAUUGUUUAUAUGAAGAAAUGUAGUGGUUUUGAGGAAUUUAAAUAGUAUUUAUGAUAAGAAAUAUAUCUGAAUCCCAAAAAAUUCGGUGUAUAGUAUGAAUAUAAUACUGCAAUUAUGAGGGUGAACGAAGAGAUGUAUUCUUUUGUUACUGAGAGUUUUUACCAGAUUAAGCUUUCUUGAAUAAAAUUGUGGUUUAAUGAUUUAUAGUAUUAGGUAAGAUUAUAGAAGAAAAUAAAUCUUAGCCAUGUAUUGUUUUUAUUAAAAGGUUGGAUGACGGACAAAGCUCAUAUCAAUUUUGCUGAUGAAAACAAUACGUACAAAUUGAUCAUGUGCCUAUUAGUAAUUAAUUUUGCCCAUCGCUAUAUUUUUAACGUAAUUUUUUUAUUAAACUAUAGGUGUAAUGAAUAUAUAUUCAGGAAUUUGGGUUUAGAUAACCCUACCCAUUUUGUACAGUUAAAACUUUAAUUAAAUUCUAAAUUAAUAGGGGUAAAAGUAUGAGCAAUCUAAAUGAGGAGAUGUUAAUUUUCAAUAGAAUCAUCAAAGCCAACAAUAAAUUAACAAUGGGAAUAAGUUAUUAAAUAAAAAAAAAGUAGACAAACAAUUUUUUUUUUUCCAGUAGAGGGGUGGACCAAAUACAAAUAAACUUUUAAUUAAUCCCCUCAAAGAUUCAAAAUCAAAUGAUGACAUCUCGUAAAAAUUUUAAUAGUGUAUUUACUAAUCAAUAAUCAGAAUAGAUUAAAAUCGAAAUGAGAAAUAAGAAAUAAAUAAAAUAUUUAAUUUAAUUAUAAGAAUCAAAAUCAAAAUGAAUUAUUCUAUUACUAAUGUGCUUACUUUGUUUUAAAAUCAAAAUAAAUUAUUUUAAACUACUAAAAUCACCUUCAUUUAUUAUAUGAUAUAUGAUUACCAUUAGGAAAAUUAUUAAUAAUAAGGGUCACACAUGCACUAUUCAUAUGAGGAGAGUGUAUCUUACAUGCAUGUAAGAUAGAGAUUGCCUAAUAAUAAUAGUUGUUAUUAUUAUUAUUUUUCUCUUUUAUUUAUUAUUAUUAUUUUCUCUCCUUUUUCUCCUCUUCUUCUUCUCUUUUUUCUUUUUCUCUCUCUUCUGCAAAUUCUUUGUUACUUCUUCAUCGUCAACAUGUCAAUUUUAUCUUCUUCAUCAACAUCAUCAUCAUCAUCACAAUUACAUCAUCAAUAAUAAUAAUCAUCAUCAUCAAUCAUAAUUAUUAUUUUCAUAAAAAAUAAUCAUCAACAUCAUUGAUUGGUUCUUCAACGACGACAGAGAGGUUCACCUUGACGGCAGCGACGAAUCCGGCCGAUGAGAAGCGACGGAGAUCGGUCGCAAUCGACGACGGAGAUGACCGAUGAAAAGCUCCUUAACCGUCAAAUGUGCAGCCGAUCGUUUUUCUUUGUUCUAGGGAGGAGCUGGGUUAGUCGGCUGUUAGGGACUUCGUGUUUUUUUUUUUUUUUAAUUUAUAUUUUUUAAUUGCAAAGAGGCUAUUUUAAAAAUAUUGAACAUAUAACGGGGAUAGUUUUGUCAUCGGGGCAAUGGAGUUUUGGUUCCCAAUCACCUAUUUGAAGCAAAAUUUUAGGAACCAAAUCCAAAAAAAAAAAAAAAAAACUUAUUAAUUUAUUUUCAAUUUCAAUUUAACAAAUAAAUAACUUAUUAAUUUAACAAAUCCGAUUCUUAUUACUGCAUAGUAAAGAAUACACACAGUAUAUAUAAUUGAAACACUUGUUCAACUUUGUAAUAAGUAAUAUACUCAAAUACACAGUAUAUAUAUAAUUGCUCUGUAAAACAUAAAAGUAUUUCUCGCUUUGAUUUAUUAGAUCAUCAAAACUCCCGAUGGUAGAUUGAUGAGAAUCGCUUGUAGUGUCUAAAAAAUUAUCAUCAAUGAAAAUGGGAAUGGGAGGGCGUGGUGGGGUUGAUGAUCUAAGACUCUUUGCUCAUCACUGGUGGCCGUAAUAAUGGGGGCUUGGAGCACCUUCACUUCAACCCCCAGCAGCUCCUCGGCCUUUACCACUCAAUGAGCAAACCCUCUGGCGGCAGCAGCAUCUCCUGUGGUGGCUAUCAUUGUUGCUGAACCAUAAAUUUGUGCUGCCCCUGAGAAGCUGAAAUUGCAAGGAGAAGGCAGCAGCUCAAAAACCAGUAAUCUUUUAAAUGUAAGCAAGCAUAAUAAUUAUUCAUGAAACGUUGAAACACAAAGUCCUGCUAGAUUAAAAAAUUUAGAAGACUCGUGAUACAAUAAGAACUUAAAAGUGUAUAUACGAUUAUGCAUUAAAAGUGAAGUUGCAUGCUAUAUGAAGUUUUAAAAUAUGUCUCACUUUUUAAUGAUUUCUGGUAAAUCGCUAAUCCGAUCAUAUCAAAUAUCCUUCAUAAUCUUCAUCUUCCUCUUCGUCGUCGUCAUCGUCUUCUUUAGAUCUUUUUCCUCCUUCAACACCGUUAACCAUAUUUUUCGACUGCAAUGUCAUUUUGGAAGUAAUAUUUAUGAAGUUCAACAAGUUUCAAAUUUUGAUAUUGUUUGAAAUGUGAAUGAUAAGUACAACCUCUACCAUUAUUUAUAGAAAAAAUAUGCAAUGGCUUUGAGGAAAUAUAAUAAAGUUUACAAUUAAGAAAGGUGUAAUCCUAAAUCUUGAAAAAUCUGAUACUAAAUCUUAAAAUGUAAAUAUUUAAAUCCCGAAGAAUCCGAUGCAUAUUCUAACAGAUAGUGUUAUAAUUGUUGGAUUUACAUGGAGUCUAAUUAUAGUAUUAACGUUAGUACUCGGAUUCUCUUAUGGUCUAAACUUCUCUUGAGUAAAACUCACGUGGGAGAUUUGUGAUCCAUAAAUAAUUUUUUUUUAAAAAAAGAGAGAUAAUAGUUAAAUCAUAAUCGGAGGGCUUAGAUCUUUUUAUUUUUUAUUAUGGAGAGCUCAAAUCAAGAGAAAAUUCUAAAUUUUUAGGGGGGAAAAGCCACCCACACUCCCGAAGUUUGCUUAAAUGGUCACGCAAACCCCCAUAAUUUCAUAAAUGACAAAUAUACGCUUUGACUAUAACAAUCCAAAUAAAUAUAAAUAUAGUAAUAAGAUAAAAAUAAAUAAAUAUCAUAUGAUACAAGUAAACUAUUACAAUAAGUAUAAUUAAUAAAAUAACGUAUAUAAUGAAAACUAUUUUUAAUAUUAAGUUAUUAUUCAUCCAUCAUGUUGAAUUUUAUUAAUACUAGCUAAUAUCUAUUAAUCAAAAAAUUGACUUUAAGACUUAUACUAAUGUAGGCAUAAUUAAAAAAAUUUGUAAAUAAAAUAAAUUACUGUGAAUGUUUGGUAUAAUUAUUUUAAAAUUAUUAGUUUAUCAAAUAGAUUUUAUUAUUAAAAGAAUAUGACAUAUUAAUAAAGUUAAAUAACUUUCUAAAUGUUCAAAAUAAUUUAUAAUUUUUUUCUUAUUCUAUCAGCAGCAAAAUAAUUUAUAAUUUUUUUCUUAUUCUAUAUAUUAUAUUAUUUUUAUUUUUAUUUUUAUUUAUUAUAGAAGUUUAUAAAGUCAAUUAUUUGGUUGUUUGUAAUCAAGGAUAUAAUAGUUAAAAAAAAAAAAGGGUCUGUGAGACUAUUAAUGAAACUAAGGGGAUUUGUGUGACCAUUUAAACAAACUUUUAGGAUGUGGGUGGCCUUUUCCCAAUUUUUAAUACUAAGAUAUUCAUGUGGAUCCGCCUAUGUUGCAACAGUUAUAACAUUCCACACGUUUUGUCUUCAUUCUAAACUGUCGUUGAAUGUAAAUUAAAUGAAUCUAAAGGUUGAAAUUAAAUGGUUGAUAAAUGAGGAAUAAACCGGGAACCGUUGAUGCCGGUUGCACAAAAUUCAUCUGAUUAAACCAAUUAUGUCUUAUGUAUGAAAAAUAUAAAUUAGGGUUUGAUGAUCGUGGUUGAGAAUCAAUUUGGAGACACCUAAAUGGAACGAAAUUUGUCGCAAUUUCUUAGGGAAAAUUUUUCGAUUAUUUAUGUAUGUUGCAUGUUUGGGCUGGGGUUGUAAGGCAGAUCAAUUAAAUGAUGAAUUUGUUUGUGCAGUAGGUGUAAUUGAUUUCAUUUGACAAAUACUGUGGAGGCACCAAAAUCGGAAGAAGAUGAUCGCAAUAUUCUUCAGGUAGAAUAUUUGGAUUAUUCACCUAUGCUGCAACUCGGGCUAUAUUGGCCGAACGAAUUCGAUGGCAAUUUUGUUACUGUAGCUGGCGUAAGUGAUUUCAAAUUAAAAAAUAAUCUGGAGAUACUGAGAUUGAAAGAAGAUGAUCCCAAAUUGUUGGAAUUCGAUGGUUAGUACAUGAACAUCGGCUCUGAGGGGAAUGAUUCCGAUUGAGAAUUUGUUACUGUAGCCGACAACUGCAACCCAAACUGAGUGAGGUGCCUGUACUUUACCCGGCAAAGACUUUUUAAAACUUUCAUCUGUAGUUUCACAUCAAUCAAAUUACAAUUUGGUGCCCCGAUAAAAAAAAUAUUAAACUAUACAACAAACCCAGAUCAUAGAUUAUUAGUAAAGUUAUUAUUACAUAAAGGGAUCCGCCUAUGUUGCAACAGUUAUAACAUACCACACGUUUUGUCUUCAUUCUAAACUGUCGUUGGAUGUAAAUUAAAUGAAUGUAAAGGUUGAAAUUAAAUGGUUGAUAAAUGAGGAAUAAACCGGGAACCGUUGAUGCCGGUUGCACAAAAUUCAUCUGAUUAAACCAAUUAUGUCUUAUGUAUGAAAAAUAUAAAUUAGGGUUUGAUGAUCGUGGUUGAGAAUCAAUUUGGAGACACCUAAAUGGAACGAAAUUUGUCGCAAUUUCUUAGGGAAAAUUUUUCGAUUAUUUAUGUAUGUUGCAUGUUUGGGCUGGGGUUGUAAGGCAGAUCAAUUAAAUGAUGAAUUUGUUUGUGCAGUAGGUGUAAUUGAUUUCAUUUGACAAAUACUGUGGAGGCACCAAAAUCGGAAGAAGAUGAUCGCAAUAUUCUUCAGGUAGAAUAUUUGGAUUAUUCACCUAUGCUGCAACUCGGGCUAUAUUGGCCGAACGAAUUCGAUGGCAAUUUUGUUACUGUAGCUGGCGUAAGUGAUUUCAAAUUAAAAAAUAAUCUGGAGAUACUGAGAUUGAAAGAAGAUGAUCCCAAAUUGUUGGAAUUCGAUGGUUAGUACAUGAACAUCGGCUCUGAGGGGAAUGAUUCCGAUUGAGAAUUUGUUACUGUAGCCGACAACUGCAACCCAAACUGAGUGACGCAUAAAGUUUAGGAACUACUGAGCUAGUCAUAUCUGAAACCAGAGUGAAUAUUGCAUAUGCUUGGUAUGUUGUUGUGCCGUUCGAAGCAGCCGCGGUGGUUAAUUCCUAACAAAAAAUGGUUAAUGUUUUUGAAAGAGUAUGACGGUAGAAAUUAGCUUGGGAGGUUGGUCAUGUAUAUUUAUUGGAAUCAGGGAAGAUGAUAUUGUUAUCACAUGGAAUCAUUGUUUAAUUUGUUGGAAGAAGAGGUAUAUUGAAGUCAUGUAUCCUAAACUUGCACCACCACCCAACAUCUUUUCCAGUUGGUUGCCAGAGUCAUGUAUCCGCCUUCGAUCUUACCGACUGGAAUUUAUGGGAGACACUUAAAAUUGAAACUUGACGAUAGCUAUUUCUAUGGGAAAUUGAUCGCAAUUUCUGGGCGUUGAAAAUAUUUUGAUCAUCUAAAAUUCUGGGGUGUGAAAAAAUUUUCGACGACGGCCUCUCAAAACAAAGUCAAAACCAGUAUUAUUCCUGGACCCUUGUUCAACAUAUUUUUGUACACUUUCUUUAUUUAACAAUUUUUUUUAUAAUUUCUUUCAACAACCGGCCAUUGACCUUCACCUACUUUCUAAUUUCAACCGUUAGAUUCACUUAGUUUACAUCUAACGGUAUUUUAGAAUGAAGACAAAAAGUGUGGUAUGUUGCAACUGUUGCAACAUAGGUGGAUCCUAUUCAUGUUUAUAUCUUAUAGCAAAAUGUUUGAAUGAUAAAAAGCAGGAACUUAUAUCUUUAUACUCUUAUUAAGAAGAGCUGAGACUCUAAAUUUUAAUACAAAGACAUUCGUGUUUACAUCUUAUGGCAAAAUGUUUGAAUGAUAAAAAGCAACUUUUAAUUUUUAUAUGAAUAUAAAAACUGUCUAAAUGGAAAGUUUAAUAUUUUCUAUCGUUAUUAAUUACCCCGUAAAUUUGUUUAUUUCCAAUUACAGAAGAUAUAUCCCUCUAUAUUUUUACUGUUCUUUUUUUUUAAAAAAAAAAAUUAGCGUCCGUGUUUUAUUUAACAUUUUUUUUUUGGUCAAAAAAUGUAACAGAACAUAUAGAUUAGCUGGAGUGGGCAAUUGUUGUGUGUGAUUCUUUUGCUAGAAUGGAUGGGAAUGCAUUUGUUACCUCUAUUUUCUAAGAUUUUUUUUUCAUCAAUUCAAAAUCACCGCAAACGUAUUAUGUAUUGUUUAUGGUUGCAGGACUUUGUUUUUAUGCUAUGACUUGUUGGAGUUGUUUAUUUCUAUUAUGAAGUUAGGUAGGAUUUGUUUUUUUUAGCUAAAAUUUGAAUAGGUUCGAAUUUUUUUUUAAAUCUGAAUGGGUCUAAAUAUGAAUAUCUGAAUGAUAUAUUUACUUUUUCUUUUUAAAUAUCUGAAUCUAAUUGGCAUCUUCUUUUGUUAUAAAAAUAAAACAUCUUAAGCAUGAUUAUUUGACAUUUAUGUUCUUGUAAGUAAAAAAAAAAAAAGGAAAAAGGGGGAUUAAGUUUUAUAAUUUAGGAAAUAAGUAUAUUUUAUAGAGAUAUUUUUUAAAUAUAAUUUUUUUUCAUUCAGACCUUUUCCUAUUCAGAUAAAAGUUAUAAAAGUUUACUUUUUCUAUUCAGAUGUAAAUGUUUGAAAAUCAUACAUAAAUUACAAUAAACAAAUAAGUAAAUUUUAAAAAAAUGUCUGAAAUUAAUAUAAUUAAUUAAUUAAAAUUAUAUAAAAUUUAUAUUAAUCAUGACCAUAUUUAACAUUUCCAAAUAGAUUUAAUCUACAAGUGAUUUAGCAAAAAUUAAUUAAUUAAUUAACCAUAUAAUAAAAUGUCAGGAAAAAAAGAUUUAAAUAUGAGCUACAUUUUGUAUGAGGAUAAACACAAAACUUGUUAAAUUUCGGUUUGUAAACGCAAACAAGUGUACGCUAAAUCUUAAAAAAUAUACUUUAAUUAAAAAAAUAUGUAAUGUCUAUGAGGAAGAAAAAUAUAUAAUAAGAAAAUUAAUAAUUCUAAAUCCUGAAAUAUUCGAUAUAAAAUCUCAGAAUUUAAAUAUUGAAAUCUCGAAAAAUCCGGUACAUAAUCUAAUACAUAAGUCAUACUAUUAGAUGUAUAUGGAGUCUAAUUACAACCUUUACAUUAGGAUCAAAAGUAAAAUUCACGUAAGCAAUUAGUCGUUAAUAAAUAAAAAAAAUAUAGUUAAAUCAUAACCAAAAGCUCUCAAACCUUUAAAGUUUAAGAGAACUCAUGUUACGAGAGCAAUCUUGUUAUUUCGAAUGCUUAGACUUUCAUUUUUAUUUUUGAAUAGCAAAAUAUUUGAAUGAUGAGAACUAACUUUUAAUUUUCAUGUGAAUAAAAAAGGUUCAGAAAGUUUAACAUUCUCUCCAACAUGACCUUAUAAAAUUUAUUUAUUUCCAAUUAUAUAAAGUAAUAUCGUUUAAUUUAUUUACCAUCUUUCUUUAUUAGCAUGCAUGUGUGCUUUGACCUUCGAUGUGGAACUUUGUCGUAAACCCUAAUUUUCAUAGUGCACAUCACCAAUUUGAUCCUCAUCAUACCCAUCACGAGCUCCCUUAUUAGUUCCAAAAUUUCCUGAUCUGAACCCAACUGGUGUUUAUGGAAUGAAGGGUUCGGUCAUUUUGAAUAUUUUGGAACUUUACUUAUCCUUCAUUCCUUCUAUUUCGAAAUUUAAGGACACAUGGCGCAAUGAGAACCCUCUCAAAUGAAAAUUAGUGAUUAUGUGCUUAUUGAAUAUUGAUACUUAAUUUGUUUUCUAACUAAUGUGCCACCAACAAUAUUUUACAAUUUGAAUUAGAAAUGAUAAUGUUUAAUAAUUAACUAUUGCUUGAGACAAUACACAUUAUCUGAUACAUCAAUUAAGAUACAAAUUAAGUACCCAACUUAGUAAACAAAGAAUUCUUGCUUGAGAAUAGGGUUGGCAAAAAAGUCAAGUCUGAAUAUGGGUCGAAAAAUGUAAAGCUCGUAUAGAUUGGAUCUGGAUAAGGAUUUAGAAAAAAGGACCGAGUUUUUUAGGCAAAAGGACCGGACUUCAUUAGUAGUUCAAAAAGAAACUCUAUCCACGAACCUAUAUUUUCAUAAAGAUUAAUGUUAGACAAACUCAUGUGAAGUGACAUUAUGAUAUGUGCUAGUUAGAAGUUCAAAUCGACCCACCUAGUAAUCUAUAUAUUAAUUACCUAACAUUAUAUUUAAGGCUACGUAUAUCAAAGGCAAUCAAGAUCAUUAACGCUCCCAAAAGCUAGUUAGUUAGCUUUUUAACAUUGACAUCUUCUCUCUAAAUGAAAAGAUCAAAUAGAAAUAGUUAUUGGAGGGCACUGAAGAGUUAGGGCAGUGCUCGAGCUAGCUAUUGAUGAUGGCAUUUAAACUUGCUUUGGCUAACUUAUCCUCUUUUUGGUACCAUCAUGCUUCUUAAGGCAUCAAUAGGCUGCAUCACACAUGGCAUGCAGAUGUUAUAAGCACCAUAUUUUGCAGUGGCAAAGCCAAAGUUAACUUAUUUUUCUUAGACUAAGUGGACGUCGUUCUUGCCUUCUUGGCAUGAAUAAUUCCAACCGACAUGUCGUUAAUAUACGAAAGACUUGUUAGUUCUAAGAGCACAGAACGACCGACAUCGUCUUUCGAUCUCUUUCUAAAUUUGAGCUUCAUAUUCAAAACAUCAUUUAAUUUCUUAUCUUUCUUAUAAUGGUAAUGCAUGUCAUGUCAUGUCAUGCCAUAAACUAUUACCUAACAGUGAAUAUAUACAUAGGUGAUCUAGAAAUUAGAAGUGGGAUCAUUGUUCUCUUCGUGUGGUGAUUCACUUAAUUAGCAAUUAACAUAGUUUGGUUUGACUCAUUAUAUUUCAUUUCUGAUAUUUUUUAACUUAUGAAUUAAACACGGACAUACUUUAUGAGAAUCGAAUCCAAAAUUUAGGGUUUUGAUAAGAUUACCCACUAACUAGUAGAGUUAGACCUUGGUCCAUUCCAUUUCUAAUUUAACACAAAACUCAUUUGAUUUAAUUCUACUACUCUACUAUUUCACUUAAAAUCUUUUCAUUAUUUGUACUUUUUCUGAAUGUGCCCAAUUAAUAGUGAAAAUAAAUCUUUGCUGCACUUAAAGUAUUACUCGUUAUCCAUCUACCAUUUACUUCAUGUACACGAAUAUUACCAUAAUUAGUUGAAAUGUACAUGUAAUAUAAGAGUGAUAGAAAAAGUGCAGUGCUCAUGCAGUAUCCAAAUAUUUUCCAAAUCUACGAUAUGAUUACUAUGGUAUAGUAUUUCAUUUGUGGUCUCAAUAUCAUUAACUAAUGACUUAUAUCAUAAAUACCAAAUCAAACAAAGGUAAAUAAAAAAGGUCUAUCAACCAUACAAAUAUUACUUGAAAUGCUCAUAAAAUUGCUCAUACAAAUCUUUUCAUUAUUUUUUAGCAAAAAUCAUACAAUGGUACAAAUCUUUGGAAAAAGAUUUGAACAAGUUGCCUGUUCAAACAUUAUGAUAGCAUGUGACUCCUCUCAAGACUUUAAUAGAGACAUUUUACUACUACAUGAUUGUACAAUUCCUCUAAAAAGGACAAUCUAUUUUUCAUUAUUGAAUUAUGCUUAGGUCAUGCAAGCUAACUUCUAUUACAUAUAGAACUAGCUACUCAUGCUUUGUGAAGCACAUAUACAUUGCAAUAAACUUCCUUUGUCCCUACAAGCUAUUAGGCUGGCUGUUGCAACAAGUUAUUAGGCUGCCUGUUGGAGAAAAAUUAAUGCACAAUGAAUGUUUUGUUACGUCAUAAUAGUCUUCCUGUUGUGCGCGGAAUGCGGAAUCAAGCGCACCAAAUCAUUAUAGAAAAAUAAAGGACACAAGAAUUACGUGGUUCGGUAAUUAAACCUACAUCCACGGAGAUAAGAAAGAAUAAUUGUUUAUUUAACAAUUAAUAGAGUACAAAUAUUUGAGUAACGAAUCUCACUUCCCAGAAACCCAAAUAUACCCAGUACUCUCACACUCUGCAGGAAAGGUAAAUUCCUCAUACACACUUCUCUCACUUUUCUCAAAAGCUUAGAAACUUAUAAGCUUAACAAUUUUGGGAUGAUUUAGAAUGUAAGAAGUGCCAUCUAUUUAUAUGAAAAAUAAUGGCACUAUUGCACCAACCAUUUUACUAUUCCACCUAACCUAAGCAAAUUGUCAAUGGUGUCCAUUUGGUAAAUUUGACAAAUUUGCCAACGUUCCAUUUUUUCUUCAAAUGUUUAGUAGCUCUUUGAAAUUUUGCCACAUGCAUGACUUUUCAACAAUUCUCUACCUCGGCGAAAAUUUGUCCAAAUCUGAGCCGACUACCAACGAACCAUCAUCCCCAAAGUGGCUGCAUCUCUAUAACUGCCUACGUACCCAAAAUUUGGGAUCAAGCCAACCGUAGUUCAAAAUUCCCGAAUGACAUAUCUUAACACAAUCGAAGGAUUUGAAUUAAUUUCAAGCAAUGUUGAAACUUAACUCCAGAAACUACCUUCGUCAACAUAUCUGAUGGAUUAUCUUUGGUAUCGAUCUUUCUCAACAACACAACACCGCUCUCGAUAAUCUCUCUCACAUAAUGAUAUUUCACAUCUAUGUGCUUCGUCCGAACAUGAUAUGUUUGAUUCUUCGCAAGGAAUUUCGUACUUUGAUUAUCACAGAAGACCGCAAUGUUAUCCUGGAUUACUCCCAAAUCACCUAACAAGCCUUUCAACCAGAUAGCUUCUUUUACAGCUUCAGUUGCUGCCAUAUACUCUGCUUCCGUAGUGGACAGAGCAACUGUCGAUUGUAGAAUCGACCUCCAGCUAACCGGACCUCCACCCAAUGUGAAUACGUAGCCCGUUGUUGAUCUUCGCUUGUCAAGGUCUCCAACGAAAUCAGAAUCACAAUACCCAACACAUUGUUGACCACAAUCAUUCUUGAACAAUAACCCAACAUCAACUGUCCCAUAUAGAUAUCGGAGAAUCCACUUUACCGCAAGCCAUUGAUUUUUACCCGGAUUGUGCAUGUAUCUACUAACCAUGCUCACUGCUUGAGAUAUAUCGGGCCUUGUGCAUACCAUAGCAUACAUAAGACUGUCCACAGCACUAACAUAUAGAACACGAGCCAUGUAAUCGCGCUCCUCUUGAGAUCUAGGACAUGAAGAAGAGCUUAAUUUGAAAUGAGGAGCUAGAUGUGUACAUACCGGUUUAGUUUUGUCAUCCAUACCGAAUCUUUCUAGCACUUUCUUCAAAUAAGACUUUUGAGUCAACCAUACGCUCCCAUUCUUCUUGUCUCUACGAAUCUUCAUCCCAAGUAUUCUUUGUGCAUCACACAAGUCUUUCAUCUCGAACUCAGAAGCCAGCUGCUUUUUUAAUCUUUCGAUCUCAUCUCUAUUCUUCGAAGCUAUAAGCAUAUCAUCGACAUAGAGUAACAAAUAGAUGAAAGCUCCAUCUAGUAGUCUUCUAAAGUAAACACAAUGAUCGUGUUCACUUCUAGUGAAUUUCUGCCCUUGUAUAAAUUGGUCAAAUCUUUUGUACCACUGCCUAGGUGAUUGCUUCAGUCCGUACAAAGAUUUAAUCAACCAACACACAUGAUUCUCCUUUCCAGCAACUCUGAAACCACAAGGCUGAAUCAUAUAGAUUUCCUCCUCCAAAUCUCCAUGUAAGAAUGCCGUCUUAACAUCCAAUUGAGCCAACUCUAACUCAUAUUCUGCAACUAAGGCAAGUAGGAUAUGAAUGGAAGUAUGUUUUACAACUGGAGAGAAAACUUCAUUGUAGUCAAUACCUUCCUUUUGAGCAAAACCUUUUGCCACAAGCCUUGCCUUGUAUCGAGGAGUUGUUUGAUUCGGAGAUCCUUGUUUUUUAGUGUAGACCCAUUUAUUACCAAUAGCCCUUUUCCCCUUUGAUGGAGAGAUUUCAUCUCUUCCUCCAUGGCUAACUUCCACUGAUCACUUUCACUGCUGCGUAAUGCUUCACCGAAAGUGUUGGGGAUGUCAUCAUCAAUAACUGGAAGUGCAUAGGCUACCACCGUAUCUUUAGUAAGCCAUCUGGGUUUCUUUAUCUCUCUUCUUGGCCUCCUUGUUGCUAUAAAAUCAUCAUUAUCUGCAUCAUCAAUUGUUUCUUCAUUUUGUGGGACAUCAGAAGAAACAACCAAUUCUUCAACUCUAGGUGUCACCUCCAUAGUUAAACUCUUCUUUGAUGUAGAACUAACUGGUACAUAUGGAGUUGCAUCAAACUCCACCCGCUGCAAUACCUCUUUGGUCUUGUUCUCCACCUACUGAGAACUUGAAGCUUUCAUCAUUGAAGCUUUCAUCAUUGAAGUUUCAUCAAAUGUGACAUCUCUGCUACACACAAACUUUUUGUCUUCGAGAUCCCAAAGCUUGAAGCCCUUUACUCCACCUUUGAAUCCCACAAAGAUAGUUUUUCUAGCACGAGGAUCCAGUUUACCAUCUUUGACAUGAUAAUAAGCUGGACACCCGAAUACACGAAGGGAAUCAUAGUCUUGUGCAUACUUUCCAGACCACAUUUCCAUAGGAGUUUUACCUCCAAUUGCAGCAGAAGGCAACCAGUUUACCAAGUGACUUGCGUAGCUCACAGCUUCAGCCCAAAACUUUUUAUCUAAACCAGCAUUAGAUAACAUACACCGUACCUUCUCCAGUAAAGUACGAUUCAUACGCUCAGCCACACCGUUCUGUUGCGGAGUAUGUCUUACCGUGAAAUGUCUUUUAAUACCCUCGUUCUGGCAUACUUGCAAGAAUGGAUCAGAAGUAUAUUCACCCCCAUUAUUAGAUCGUAAUAUUUUGAUCUUUCUGCCAGUUUGAGUCUCCACUAAAAUUUUCCAUUUCACGAAAAUCUCUAUAACCUCAUCCUUUGCUCGCAUGGUGUACAACCACACAUGUCUAGAGAAAUCAUCAACAAAUAUAACAAAAUAAUGGCUUCCACUAAUUGAUGCAGUCUUGGUUGGUCCCCAUACAUCACUAUGAACAUAUUCAAGGAUCUCACGAGUAUCGUUAUUAGCUGUACCAAACUUGACCCUUGUUUUCUUGCCUACUACACAAUGCUCACAUAAAUUUAAUUUACAGGUUUUGGUACCUUUUAAGAGUCCAUGCCUCAUCAGAGUUUGCAAAAACUUCUCUCCAGCAUGUCCCAGUCGUACAUGUCAUAUCUUGGUGGUGUCACUGUGCGCCUCAACAACAUUUGCUUCAUCAGUUGUACCUCCCUUCAAAUAGUACAGAUUGUGACGCCAAAUCCCUUGCAGAAUCACCAUAGCCCCAUGUGUAAACUUCAUUGUACCAUCUUCAAUGGUAAUCUUGUAGCCUUUAGCUUCUAAAGCACCCACAGAAAUUGGAUUUUUCUUUAAAGCUGGAACAAAUCUAACCUCUUUGAGUUCUCUGAUCAUUCCAUCAAACAUUUUGAGUCGAAUUGUUUCUAUCUCCAUUGUACGACAAGAUUGAUCAUUCCCCAUCACAACUGCACCGGAUUCCAGAUUACAAAAAUCUGUAAACCAUUCCUUAAUAUGACACAAAUGAUAGGUUGCUCCAGUAUCAAGUAUCCACUCGCUCGAACUAGCCACGUAUGCUGCAUGAGUAAUACUUAGUGAAUAAUCAGAGCCGUCAUUUUUCCGUGCCAUGUUUGCUGCUGGUGGUUUCUUCACAUCUCUCUUUUGAGCCUUUGGACAAUCUUUCCUCCAAUGGCCUUUUUCAUGACAAAAGGCACACUCAUCUCGAGCUAUAUUUCUGCUUCUCGAUUUGGAUCGAGAAUUCUUUCCACCACGCUUCUUCUGUUUCUCUAUCGCCCAAUCUCUGCUCACCAAAGUUUCAGACGAUGCUCAUUCAGAAUUUUUAUCAUUAUUCCGAAUCUCUAAGCUAGUUAAUGCUGUGCAAACAUCUUUAAAGAUGAUCACACUCUUCCCAUAUAUCAAAGUAGUCACAAAAUGGCUAUAUUCCUCUGGUAGUGAGUGUAACAGAAUCAUAGCCUUGACUUUAUCCUUAAUAUCUUCAUUAAGAUUCUUCAAAUCAGCAAGUAACUUUUCAAAUCUUGAAACAUGAUUGUGCAUUGACACCCUAGGCUUCAUUCGAAAACCAUAUACUUGGCUCAUUGCAUGAAGGCGAUUUUCAGGACUUUUCACCAGGUACUUCUCCUCCAAUGUACGCCACAAGUCACCGCAUACUCAUCAUCUUUCACCAAGUAUUUCACCUUCUUGGUCAAACAAGAUCUGAUUUGACCACAAGCUUUCUCAUUCAUACGAUCCCAAAUUUCUUCAUCAUACAAAUGUUUUUUAUUUUUCAGAACAAAAUCAAGAUCGAUUUGAAUAAGGGCAUCCAUUACUUCGCGCCUCCACAUGCCGAAGUUGAUUUUCCCAUCAAACUUUUCAACAUCGAUCUUCUGGCCUCCGAUAAUAGGUGUUGAAUAGCGAUUUGACAAAUCUCGCCUCCCACCUGAAGUGUCUCCUGAAAUAGUCUCGGUAGAUCUCUCCCCAAUUCUGGAAGUUUCACCUUCUAUCAUUUUUUCAACGAACUAUUUCCACUUGAAAAACAAUCUCUAUGAUGUUAAUUUCGCGUGAAUAAAUGCACCAGGAAAGUUUCCAGGAGACUGGACGGGAACUCGGUCCCAAUUAAAAAUCAGAAUCCUUAGACUCUUAUCGCCUUUGUUGACAGAACUUUCCUAGACAUGCAAAAAUACACACUACUUACAAUAGACUGUCUCCCAAGUACAAAUGGCCGUCUCCACCGUAUUCGUGAAUAGUACCGUAUGUGAACAGUACCGUAUAUAUGAAUAGUAUUGUAUACGUGAACAGUGCCGUAUCUACGAACCGUACCGUAUUCGUGAACAGUACCGUAUGUGAAUAGUACCAUAUACAUGAACAAUACCGUAUCCCCCAAGUACGAACCGUUGAUACCACUUGUUAUGCGCGGAAUGCGGAAUCAAGCGCACCAAAUAAUUAUAGAAAAAUAAAAGACACAAGAAUUACGUGGUUCGGUAAUUAAACCUACAUCCACGGAGGUAAGAAAGAAUAAUUGUUUAUUUAACAAUUAAUAGAGUACAAAUAUUUGAGUAACGAAUUUCACUUCCCAGAAACCCAAAUAUACCCAGUACUCUCACACUCUGCAGGAAAGAUAAAUUUCCCAUACACACUUCUCUCACUUCUCUUAAAAGCUUAGAAACUUAUAAGCUUAACAAUUUUGGGAUGAUUUAGAAUGGAAGAAGUGCCAUCUAUUUAUAGGAAAAAUAAUGGCACUAUUGCACCAAUCCCUUUACUAUUCCACCUAACCUAAGCAAAUUGUCAAUGGUGUCCAUUUGACAAAUUUGACAAAUUUACCAACUUUCCAUUUUUUCUUCAAAUGUUUGGUAGCUCUUUGAAAUUUUGCUACAUGCAUGACUUUUCAACACUUCCUUUACUAGCUAGUAGCCAACCCUUGGUGUAUAAAUGAAUACCCAUUCAUGCAAACUCUCUGUUGCAGCAACCUUGGUUUUGUUCUUCUUCUUCUUUAUGCUCUUUUCUUCUCUCCUCUGCUUCUUGCAAUUACUUAAUUAACACACACACACACACAUAUAUAUAUAAGCAAUAUAAUGAAUUACAAUUUGCCACGUUGAAGUCCUUUGAGGAAGUGGAUGCUUUCGUGGAAUUUGAGGAACAAGGCCAGCAUGAAAACGCGAUGAAGAUCCCAUUUUGCAAAUAUGUUUGUUUUAGAGGCAACUCUAAUUUAAGGUUGUCGUAAUUUUUCGUAUUAUACAUAACAAGUGCCUAAUUAACCAUAGAUCUCCUAUAUAUGCAGCUGUAUGCCACAAUAUCGAGUGGAUCAAUCGCCAUUAGACGAAGCCCAUACCAUGGGGAAGACCUUGCAAAACAAGAUUGAGAAAGCCGCAGAAGUUGAACGAGCAUUCGUUCAUAUAUACUGACUUGGCCACAAGCUACCCAGCAGUCAGCCAUGAUUGUUUCAACUCUUAUUACUUCUAAGUCACCCAUGUAACUGUUACUAGGGCAAAGCCCAAAGAAAGCUACGUGAAACCAUUCGGACAAGUCUCGAGAGACUUAUAGGUACUAUAACUUAAUAAUUUAGAAAGUUAAGCAAUUUUUUUAUAUUUAUGAACACGGUGUUAGAGCCUGCGUCUAACUUUGAAUCCUGGUUCAUAACCAUCCUGUAAAUCAAUCAAGUACGUUAAUUGCACUACACGAAAAAUAUUUUUUGUCUUCGAACAAUUGUUAUCCAAAAAAAUGAACUUGUAGUAACAUGUAAUCCAUUUUUAAUACAUUAAUUACAUGCUAAGAUAAAGACCCUUUUCGAAAAGAAAGAAAGGAGAGAAAAGAUGGCAAGCACGCAAACUUAGUGCAAAACUGCAAACGUGUUAGGGGUCUUGUUGUUUUGGUUGCUAGACAUCAAGUUACUUUUGGCAGGAGCGUAAUGGUUUUCAUAUUUGGUCAUAUGGAUUUAAGUUGAAAUCUUUAAAAGACACGCAGUAAAACAGAGACAGAAUAAAAUGCUCUACUUCAUUUCAUUGUAUAUGCACAGUUCAAUUCUUGCUGGCCAAAAUGUGUUGAACCAGACGGCUGCAUGUUUAUCUCCAUUGUACCGUUGAUCUUAUCCUCACUUCUCAUUGGCAUUCUCGGUACUUUGCUGAGUCACUUGCCACGUCUGCCAUAUCAGGUUACAUGUCACUUGUCUAGUCAGGUGCUUGUUAGGAGCUGCUUCACUGUGUCAAUUCAUCAAGCAUUUAGUUUACUUCAUCAAACACCUUCAUCAGGAAAAGUCAUUUGUACUCGGGUCGAAUAUUUGAACUCUAAAAAAUAAUGAAAUACCCAGCAACAUACUUUCCAAUGAAACGUUUUAUUACUAAAAUAAUAACUCCAAAAUAACAAAAGGUUUUUACUAAAUUGUAAAACAUAUUCAACCUACGCACGUCGUUUUUUUUUUUUUCAGAAGAUCGUCGAGAUUACAUUACAUGAUAAGCAGAUAAUGAUUUAUUGAACGCCGCAGCAGAAAAUAUGGCGCUCUAUUUUGUAAGGAAAGCAACAGUCUUAGCCGUUAAUAUUAUUGAUUGCAUGCUAAAGGCCAAGCCUGUUUUACACAAGGUAGCAAAAUGCUCACAGUUACUUACCAGUAGAUUGUAGCCAGCACAAAAAUCUUUCCUUUGUAGUUUGCUAGUGGCAAAUUCAAUAACUUCCUCCGGUGACUUUAUACAACCACCAUACUGUAUGACAUACUGACGUACAAUGCUACACUCAUAAUCAUAGACAUACAAUGAGUGGCCAUCCAAGAAGCAAUCAAGACACGUUUUGAUGGUUCCACAAUUAAACCCUUUCUGGCACCCUUUUGCUACAUGCAUGACUUUUCAACACUUCCUUUACUAGCUAGUAGCCAACCCUUGGUGUAUAAAUGAAUACCCAUUCAUGCAAACUCUCUGUUGCAGCAACCUUGGUUUUGUUCUUCUUCUUCUUUAUGCUCUUUUCUUCUCUCCUCUGCUUCUUGCAAUUACUUAAUUAACACACACACACACACAUAUAUAUAUAAGCAAUAUAAUGAAUUACAAUUUGCCACGUUGAAGUCCUUUGAGGAAGUGGAUGCUUUCGUGGAAUUUGAGGAACAAGGCCAGCAUGAAAACGCGAUGAAGAUCCCAUUUUGCAAAUAUGUUUGUUUUAGAGGCAACUCUAAUUUAAGGUUGUCGUAAUUUUUCGUAUUAUACAUAACAAGUGCCUAAUUAACCAUAGAUCUCCUAUAUAUGCAGCUGUAUGCCACAAUAUCGAGUGGAUCAAUCGCCAUUAGACGAAGCCCAUACCAUGGGGAAGACCUUGCAAAACAAGAUUGAGAAAGCCGCAGAAGUUGAACGAGCAUUCGUUCAUAUAUACUGACUUGGCCACAAGCUACCCAGCAGUCAGCCAUGAUUGUUUCAACUCUUAUUACUUCUAAGUCACCCAUGUAACUGUUACUAGGGCAAAGCCCAAAGAAAGCUACGUGAAACCAUUCGGACAAGUCUCGAGAGACUUAUAGGUACUAUAACUUAAUAAUUUAGAAAGUUAAGCAAUUUUUUUAUAUUUAUGAACACGGUGUUAGAGCCUGCGUCUAACUUUGAAUCCUGGUUCAUAACCAUCCUGUAAAUCAAUCAAGUACGUUAAUUGCACUACACGAAAAAUAUUUUUUGUCUUCGAACAAUUGUUAUCCAAAAAAAUGAACUUGUAGUAACAUGUAAUCCAUUUUUAAUACAUUAAUUACAUGCUAAGAUAAAGACCCUUUUCGAAAAGAAAGAAAGGAGAGAAAAGAUGGCAAGCACGCAAACUUAGUGCAAAACUGCAAACGUGUUAGGGGUCUUGUUGUUUUGGUUGCUAGACAUCAAGUUACUUUUGGCAGGAGCGUAAUGGUUUUCAUAUUUGGUCAUAUGGAUUUAAGUUGAAAUCUUUAAAAGACACGCAGUAAAACAGAGACAGAAUAAAAUGCUCUACUUCAUUUCAUUGUAUAUGCACAGUUCAAUUCUUGCUGGCCAAAAUGUGUUGAACCAGACGGCUGCAUGUUUAUCUCCAUUGUACCGUUGAUCUUAUCCUCACUUCUCAUUGGCAUUCUCGGUACUUUGCUGAGUCACUUGCCACGUCUGCCAUAUCAGGUUACAUGUCACUUGUCUAGUCAGGUGCUUGUUAGGAGCUGCUUCACUGUGUCAAUUCAUCAAGCAUUUAGUUUACUUCAUCAAACACCUUCAUCAGGAAAAGUCAUUUGUACUCGGGUCGAAUAUUUGAACUCUAAAAAAUAAUGAAAUACCCAGCAACAUACUUUCCAAUGAAACGUUUUAUUACUAAAAUAAUAACUCCAAAAUAACAAAAGGUUUUUACUAAAUUGUAAAACAUAUUCAACCUACGCACGUCGUUUUUUUUUUUUUCAGAAGAUCGUCGAGACAGAAGAUCGUCGAGAUUACAUUACAUGUUUUUUUUCAGAAGAUCGUCGAGAUUACAUUACAUGAUAAGCAGAUAAUGAUUUAUUGAACGCCGCAGCAGAAAAUAUGGCGCUCUAUUUUGUAAGGAAAGCAACAGUCUUAGCCGUUAAUAUUAUUGAUUGCAUGCUAAAGGCCAAGCCUGUUUUACACAAGGUAGCAAAAUGCUCACAGUUACUUACCAGUAGAUUGUAGCCAGCACAAAAAUCUUUCCUUUGUAGUUUGCUAGUGGCAAAUUCAAUAACUUCCUCCGGUGACUUUAUACAACCACCAUACUGUAUGACAUACUGACGUACAAUGCUACACUCAUAAUCAUAGACAUACAAUGAGUGGCCAUCCAAGAAGCAAUCAAGACACGUUUUGAUGGUUCCACAAUUAAACCCUUUCUGGCACCCGUUGUUUUGGCAUGUAGCAUGGUAUACACUUGAUGCAGACGAGCUAGAUUUCAUUUUCGUUGAUGAAUAUGCACUUCUUUUCCUGGGUCCAUUGACAUGAAUUACCAAGUCAUCGCCCACAUAUAUUCCUGUACACGAAAAAGAGGAAAUGCCAGAUUCAGCACUGCGCAUAAGCAGGAAAAGUUACAAUACAUACAGACAUUAGACUUCUCAAUGAAUACUAAAAGUAAGCUGACCAUGAUGAUAGUAGAGACCAUUCCACCUUUCAGUGCAAAUGUGAUCACCAGGUUUGAGCAUUUCCCUACUAAUGGCCCUGCAUGUUUGGUCUCCCAUUUUUGUCUCUUUUAAACCAUCCAUUGAAUGGGGACAGUACAAAUUUAUACAAAUGCUUUGAAAUGUCAGGAGACUUACAAAUUUCCAAAAUCUGCUAUUACCCAACUCAAAAAUUCAUUUCUUUGGUUACACAUAUCCAAAAAUAAAAUUUCCAGUUUUGACAGAGGAGACAACAAGAAAUUUGUAUUAAAAUUAAUAAGGCAUUUAAUGAUCACAAAGUAACCCAAACUGACUCCCAAUUCAGCUUCUGAAAUUCUGAAAAAACAGUCUUUAGAAACUGCAGCACCAAACAUUACAAUUUUUAUUUUAUUUUAUUUUUCUAAAAGGUUAAAAAUAACGAAAUACAAUAUACAGAAAAUGGACAUGUAGACAUAUUGAAAUAAAAUUUCCUAUAAUUUAUGGAAGCUAUUUGGUUUACCAAAUAAAUUGUAGAAGUGAGGGCAACUGCUGAAAAUUGAAAUUUUCCAGCCCCAGUAUUGCAACUUCAAAAAAUCAUAACAAUUCAUGCUUUAAGAAUUUUUUAACAUGAAACAUAUCAGCGAAAAGCUCAGGAAAUCUAUUUUAAAAUCAUAAAAUUAAUUUCACAUGAUUCCAGCUAAACCAAAAGAUAUUCAGUAUAAUAUCCACACUGCUCACAGCAUCUCAGGAUUACUAAAAACAUAUUCUCAUUAAUUUCAAGAGUUAAACCUGUGCCAAUAAUUAUCAAUCAACUAACCAGCAAAACAGAGCAUACUCAUGGAUUAAACAAACAAUACCUCAAGAUGUUUAGCCUGCCUCUUACACAAGCAAAGCCAACCAAAACACAAGGUAAAAAGGCCGCAAGCAAACUUCUUCCAAAAUUAAAAGAAAACAGCACCCUUUUUUUUCCCCUCUUCUUCUUCCUUUCAAUGAAAAUAUUUUCUCCUCCCCCCUUUUUUUUUUCUGAAACCGUGAAAGUGCAAAGAGGGACAAGAGUUUUGACCUUUUAACAUAAUAAAAAGAAAUUAGUGGCUAAGAACUGUAUUUUAAAUCUGGAGCAAUUCUCUAGCUAAAAAUAAACUGUAUUUUUCUUUUAGGAUGGGUGAUCUCUACAAUGAACAGCUUCAAAGCAGUUUAUUUCUCAUUACCCACUUUAAAUUUUACAAUUUACUAUUCCAAUCCUCACCAAUAAAUCAUGCCCACUAAUAUUUAUUAACAUCCAGAUGAAACUUUUUGGGAUAAAGAAUAAUCACACACAGUCUUUAGAAACUGCAGCACCAAACAUUACAAUUUUUAUUUUAUUUUAUUUUUCUAAAAGGUUAAAAAUAACGAAAUACAAUAUACAGAAAAUGGACAUGUAGACAUAUUGAAAUAAAAUUUCCUAUAAUUUAUGGAAGCUAUUUGGUUUACCAAAUAAAUUGUAGAAGUGAGGGCAACUGCUGAAAAUUGAAAUUUUCCAGCCCCAGUAUUGCAACUUCAAAAAAUCAUAACAAUUCAUGCUUUAAGAAUUUUUUAACAUGAAACAUAUCAGCGAAAAGCUCAGGAAAUCUAUUUUAAAAUCAUAAAAUUAAUUUCACAUGAUUCCAGCUAAACCAAAAGAUAUUCAGUAUAAUAUCCACACUGCUCACAGCAUCUCAGGAUUACUAAAAACAUAUUCUCAUUAAUUUCAAGAGUUAAACCUGUGCCAAUAAUUAUCAAUCAACUAACCAGCAAAACAGAGCAUACUCAUGGAUUAAACAAACAAUACCUCAAGAUGUUUAGCCUGCCUCUUACACAAGCAAAGCCAACCAAAACACAAGGUAAAAAGGCCGCAAGCAAACUUCUUCCAAAAUUAAAAGAAAACAGCACCCUUUUUUUUCCCCUCUUCUUCUUCCUUUCAAUGAAAAUAUUUUCUCCUCCCCCCUUUUUUUUUUCUGAAACCGUGAAAGUGCAAAGAGGGACAAGAGUUUUGACCUUUUAACAUAAUAAAAAGAAAUUAGUGGCUAAGAACUGUAUUUUAAAUCUGGAGCAAUUCUCUAGCUAAAAAUAAACUGUAUUUUUCUUUUAGGAUGGGUGAUCUCUACAAUGAACAGCUUCAAAGCAGUUUAUUUCUCAUUACCCACUUUAAAUUUUACAAUUUACUAUUCCAAUCCUCACCAAUAAAUCAUGCCCACUAAUAUUUAUUAACAUCCAGAUGAAACUUUUUGGGAUAAAGAAUAAUCACACAAACUAAACUGAGAAGCAAAACAACAUGAAACACAGAGAACUUGAAGCACAAAGAGAGUCAAAACAAAAAUUAAGUAAAAUAAAACAAACCUUUCAAUCGGCUGAGACGGAAGUGUGUCAAGAGCAGAUCGACGGCGCGGAGGCAACGACGACAGGUGGCGCUGGAAACGCGAGCAGAGCGACGGCAAAUGGCUAAUUCAUGACGGCUUGUUCUGUGAAGUCCAUUGAUGGUCGGGUUUCAAGGGCUUUGCAAUUUGAUAAUAGAACUCGUGUAAGUGGCUUCAUAUAAAGGGAUACAAUUUGAGAAUAAGGAAUGGGAAUUUCAUUCCCAUGGAGAGUUGGGAAUGGAAUUCUCAUUCCUGAAUUGACUUACGGCUUAAUCUUAAACACUCAUAUUUAUUAUUCACACAUAGAAUUCCAAAAAUUCGUAUUUGUAAAUGCUUUGAGUACAUGAAUGAUGAUUCCCCAAUUCUUUACAUUCUAAUUGGAGAUUUGCAGCGAGUUCUAUGUGUGCCGAUAAGUGAUUUUAGUGCUAUCGAUGUUUAAUUUAAUUAUCUUUCUUGACAAAAUUUGCAAUGAAACGCUCAUGACAAUUCACACGCCCCACCUGCAAAAAUAUUGUGAAGCAGAACUGAAGACACAGUGACUUUGAUUUAAAAGCAGAGUUACAGUAGCCACUAGCACUCUCGUAACAACAAGGGAAUUAACAAAAUGCUGUUGGGAGAACAAAGGAAUGUGAAGCAACAAUGAACUAGAGUUGACUAAUAACCAAAAUAUUCUCCGGCUCAAGUGUUAGCCUACUGAGUGUUCAGGAUAGUUCGACAGAGCAGAGUACAACAUCAAACUCUUAUUAAGCAGAGAACUUCAAUAAUUUAUCAGCUACCUUUUCUAAAAGUUUAGGUCUCGGUGAUGAAAAUUUAACUCAACAUUGCCUGAUUAAUAACCGUAGUUCGAGCCACAGACAGAGCCGCAGCCUCUAGCAUGGCCUGCAUGUGCUGGAUUAGAAAGGGAUGAUCUAUACAUUGAUGCAUAUGGGUUAUAACCUUUGUCUGCAGACCCACCCAGCCAUGAAAUUCUGCCAUAUGACAAAAAUGAUGAAACAAAAACACACUUUAUGCCCUUAAUCGUGCAUUUCCAAAUUAAACACAUAUUUUGAGUAAAUUUCGAAAUUUACCACGAUCUCCCAUGAAUCCGAGCUUGCAGCUUGUUAUGGAGCUUCAACAGAGUUGCUGCUACUUUUGUCUAGCUUCUGAAUUCCGCUUUCGUUUCCUUAGCUCAAGAUCACGGCUUCUCUCAGCAACUUACUGUGCACACACACGGGAGACAAACGGGAGAGAGAGAGAUGCACUACACUCAUGCCACAGAUUUCUUGAACAGUUAACUUUCAAUGGGCUGAAGUUACUUAAAUACAGUGGUUGAGCGCAGGGACCCCUCAUGUGUUAGUACAAAAUUGCCCAUCCCAUUAUGGGCGAAAAUAACACAAUUAAGGAUAUACUUGUCCAUAAUAUACUACUGUACGGGGUAUGUCAAAAUUGCUCCAUAAUAUUUGACAAUAGUCACGUAUUAAUUCGGUAAAAUAUAGAAAACAAUUAGAAUGAUUUAUGUCAGUCCACAUAAUGUGAAAAAUAAAUCUAACAAAAAAGAGUACCACCGGCUUAAAAUCCAAAAGAGAGCGAGCACAAGAACACUAUAAAGGCUACAUGGAAAACAGCAGUCAUAACAUCCAUACUGAAAAUUAAAGAAGAUAAUAGCUGUAUAUUGUUUAUUUGAUACAUCUUCAUAAUAUCAGAUCAUACUGAUAUGUUGUGAAGAGGGAGAGAGCGGGAAAACACGCUGAAUGUGAGUCCAUUAAGAAAUAUAAUUUCACUUGGCCAAGAACAAAAGGAAGAAAAACAACGAUUAUUGUGCUUCAGUUCUAAGGGCCCAAAGUGGUGAUGUUUGUCUUUAAUGCAUCUCCAGCUACAAACAUUACUUCUUUGGAGAGUGAAACUCCAACUUUUCCUUCAUCAUCCUGUGCUAGGCGGACACAGUUGAAGUGCUUAUCAUUGGAACCUGCAUGCAAAGGCGAAGCUAAUUUAGAUAAUUUCUCAUGAACUAUAACAAAAUAUAAGCAACAAAAGAAGUAAUAUUCACGAGUUUAAGGUAAAGAUAGUUUCGAUUUCCCAGUAACGUUUAUAUUAAUGAGUCUUAGGUGCUAAUAUCCGCACUCUUACUGUUGUGAAAAUUUUAAUAUGCUCGCAAGCGCACGAAUUUAGAAAUAGAAUAGUAGUAACGAGGUCGAUCCCACAGAGAUUGUUAUAAAUUGAAAAGUUUAAUUUAAAUCUAAAAUUAAUAUUAAUCAUAACCUAGUUGACCAAUUUAAAUUUUUAAGAGAAAUUAAACUAAUUAAACUAAGAAAACAAUUAAAGUAAAUGAGAUUUCAAUAAGACAAAAAUUACCAACGUUUCGGAAUCCAUGACUAUUCAACUAGUAAUUAUCUAAUUAUUAAUUAAUCCUCAAUUUUAGAGUGACAACUCGAAAUCAAUCUAUGUCAUCUCAUAAAUAUAACAAUUAAGCCCAAUUAAAAUUAAUCUUGUGUAAGUUAUUUUUCUGCUUAAUAGUAUGAUAUCUAAGUAUCCCAUGUAAACAUAUUGAAAAACAAAGAGUCAAAGUUUUCAUAAGUACUAUGUGUAAACAAUUUAAUGAAAGACAUAGAAUCAAAGAUAAUCAUGUAUAAACUUUAUAAAUCCAAGCAUAGAUUUAAUCGAAUAUUAAUCCUACCAAUCAAUAACGCAUGAUAAAAUUGAUGAAAAUAUUUUAAUAAUAUCCAAUUAAUCAUGUGAAAUAAAAACUAUAAUCAUCAAAGAACAUAUAUAGGGAAUUAAUUAAAUAAAAAGAGAUAAUUAUUUCAUUGAAUAGGGUUUCAUCCUUAACCUCAAUAAAAAAAAUUUAGUUAUACAUACUUGAAUUGGAAGCAACAAAAUAAAUAAAAUCACUCAUGGAAGCCGAACUGCUGCUGCUGCUGCCCAGCCUUGCGUCUGCUUUCCUCUGGCGGCUACCUUCCUUGCAAAAGCCAAAGUUCGGCUUUUAUAUUGUAACACCCUCCAAAAUCCUCAAAUCAAAAGGUUUUAAAACAAGCCAAGCACAACCGACUUUGAGCCAUGCACGUGAAGCCCACUUGGAAUUUUCAUUUUUUUUUGUAAUGCCCUGCAAUUGCUUCUCACGUGCAGGCCACUUUAGCUUUAAAUUUCUUCUUUGUUUGCACUAGCAUGGAGAAUUCAAUUUAUUGGCUUCGACUUCUUCAGAUUGAAUUUCAUACACAUUUGCUUAACUGCUUCUACAAAUUGACUUGAUGUUCAAUGUUGUUCAGUUGUUAUUCUUUAUGCACUUUUCAUCCAUAAUCUCUAAUUAAUUCCUUAUUUAAUAAAAUAAUUUAAUUAACUAAAAAUGACCAAUGAAAAUAGCUAGCAAUUAUACAAUUAAGAGUAAAAUAUGUAUAUAAAUUAUGCUCAUCACUUACAAAGCAUAUAUAUGAAUCAACGGUCAAUUUAUAACACUAUAAAUCCUUCUUCAACGUUACUAUAAUGUGCUGUACAGAAACUUUUACAGUAUUGUACUGGAAAGCUUUACAAUAUUGUAAAAUUCCUUUACAGCAGUGUAAAAGAAUUGAUCCACACUUUAUAAAGUGCGAACAUCGGCAAAAAGAUUCAUAUUCUUGUUAACCCCUUGAAAGUUCAUAUAGUCCCAAUAACUAAUUUUUUUUUUUUGAAAGGUUAAUUAUUUGAAAAUUAAAAUAAGUUUCCAGUUUCGACACUACCUGUACGGGUUCGAACUAAAUGAGUCAGUUCGUACUUGGGGCGGGACCGGUCACGUGCCUUGUUUGAUGAAAGCAAAGCAGGUGCACCCAUCCGGAAGAGACAGUUGGUUAGCAACACGGACAGGUUCUUACCAGAAUACCAAGAAUGAGCAAUCUUUUCAGUACUUACGACGACUGUAUAGGAGUUAGGUUUUCCUUUAAGGAGGGUCCAAGCGAGCUCGACGGAUAAGAGGCUUGCACUAAAGCCCAUGCCACCAAGAUUGCAGGUCUUGAUGUCAGUUCUAAGCUUGUAACGGUUCACUAUCAUGGAAGAAAAGAGAUGGGACUGGAUUGAAUAAGCUGCAGUUCACGAUAAGGAUUCUAACAUCACUAGUUUUGUCAAAAAGAGAAUCAAGUGCACCGAACAUGACUGAUUCAGCCUCCGACCGGGCUUGAUGAAAGGAAAGAUUGGGAGGUGAGGAUGUUGCUCCCCUUCGUAUAUACGUUUCGUCACCAAUACAAACCCGGUUCGCUAUACGUUUCUGGAAAUGAAACGAGUCCUCUUGGAACAAGCCUCUAUUUUCGGUCACUUUCAAGAACUUGUCGACUGAAGCUUUGAGUUCAUCAUCUGGUUUGUAACACGAGAAGUCGACUAGGUAGACCGUCCUGGAAUGCUUGGACCAGAAGAGCACUGCGAAGAGUAGAAUAAUUAGUGUAGUGGAAACUGCAGGUAGUUGUAACUCGGCCAUCCGGUUCAGUUCUAGACCGGGGAGCUGGACCGCAGUUGCACGAGUACCCAUUUUUCCCAUGCCCAUACCUAAAGAGAAGAUGGGUUGCUUAAUUGUAAAUUAUGGUAUAACAAGCGUCCGUAAGGGAAAAUAAAUAAAUAAUAAUAAAGAACAACGUUGAAAAAGUAAAUUUUAAAAACCCUACCCAUCUUUAUAUAGUAAAUCGAUUGGGCUUGAAAAUUUUAAAUGUUGUUCUUCAAUUAAUUGUAAGUAGUUGCAAGAAGAGAUAGAAUAGAUAGGUAAAAUGGGUAGUUUCAAAAAAAUGCAGCACGAUAGAGUGAGGGAGGGGCUGAAAAGAUCAAAUAGAAAUAGUAAUUGGAGGGCACUGGAGAGUUAGGGCAGUGCUCGAGCUAGCUAUUGAUAAUGGCAUUUAAACUUGCUUCGGCUAACUUAUCCUCUUUUUGGUAACAUCAUGCUUCUUAAGGCAUCAAUAGGCUGCAUCAGACAUGGCAUGCAGAUGUUAUAAGCACCAUAUUUUGCAGUGGCAAAGCCAAAGUUAAGAACUUAUUUUUCUUAGGCUAAGUAGAUGUCAUUCUUGCUUUCUUCGCAUGAAUAAUUCCAACCGACAUGUCGUUAAUGUACGAAGGACUUGUUAGUUCUAAGAACACACAACGACCGACAUCGUCUUUCGAUCUCUUUCUAAAUUUGAGCUUCAUCUUCAAAACAUCAUUUAAUUUCUUAUCUAUCUUAUAAUGGUAAUGCAUGUCAUGUCAUGCCAUAAACUAUUACCUAACAGUGAACAUAUGCAUGGGUGAUUUAGAAAUUAGAAGUAAGACCAUUGUCCUGUUCGUGUGGUGGUUGACUUAAUUAGCAAUUAACAUAGUUUGAUUUGACUCAUUAUAUUUCAUUUCUUUUCUUUUUUUAAUUAUUAAUUAAACAUACGCACUCUAUGUAAGAUUCGGACCCAAAACUUAGGGUCAUGAUAAGAUUACCCACUAACUAGUAGAGAAAGGCCUUAGUCCAUUUCAUUUUUAAUUCAACACAAAACUCAUUUGGUUUGAUUCUAGUACUGAAAUAUCUCACUUAAAAUCUUUUCAUUAUUGUACUUUUUCCAAAUAUCCCCAAUUAAUAGUGAAAAUAAAUCUUUGAUGCACUAAAUGCACUAUUCCUUAACGAUUUACUAUUCACUACAUGUAUCUGAAUAUUACCGUAAUUUGUUGAAAUGUACAUGUAAUUAAGAGUGAUAGAAAAAAGUUCACUGCUCCCGCAGUAUCAAGUCUUUUCCAAAAGUACGAUACAAUUACUACAUUAUAGUAUUUCACUUGGGGUCUCAAUGUCAUUAACUAAUGACUCAUAUCAUAAAUGCCGAAACAAACAAAGGUAAAUAAAAGAGGGUCUAUCAACCAUACAAAUAUUAUUUGAAAUGCUCAUAAAAUUGCCCCUACAAAUCUUUUCAUUAUUUUUUUAGCAAAAAUCAUACAAUGAUACAAAUAUUUGGAAAAAGAUUUGAACAAGUUGCCUGUUCAAACAUUAUGACUAGACUGCAUGUGACUCCUCCCAAAACUUUAAUAGAGAUAUUUUACUACAUCAUGGUACAAUGCCUCUAAAAAAGACAAUAUAUUUUUCAUUAUUGAAUGAGAAAUGCUAGGGAGCGAGAGGGACGAGAGAAACAACAUUCUCUCCUGUCGUUUCUCCUCUCGUUCUCUCACUCAUUAAACAUUAAAAAAAUAAAAAAAAUGAAUAAAAAAAUGACGUGAAAUCCAGCUUUAGCAUGAAAUCCAGCUUUCACUUUCCUCUCUCUUUCACUUUUCCCAGCUUUGACUUUACUUUUUAAUUUCUUUCACUUUCCUCUCUCUUUCACUUUCACUUUCCUUAGUUCUCACGCAGGCUUUACUUUCAGGCUUCACUUUCACUUUCCUCUUCCUCAGCUUUCACUUUCCUCUCUCUCUCACGCAGGCUUCACUCUUCACUCUCCCCCUCUCUCGGCUCUUCCCUCUCCAGCCCGAGCAACUGUUCACGGCCUCCUCCCUCUCCCCCUCUCUCGGCUCUCUCGGCAAACAUUAAGUGAGCGGUGGCUUUUUUCAGCUUGUUCGUUUUGUUUUAAUUUUCUGUUAUGUGAAAGAUCCGGCACGUAUUGUUGAAUUUAAGCUUGUUUUUUUUUUGGUGUUGUUAGUGCGUCUCGUUGGAAUUUAAGCUUCAGGAAUUUAAGUAAUGUAAAUUUUGUUGCGGGUUAUGUUAUGAAUUUUGUUUUAUUUCAACUAUUUAUUUUAGAAAUUUUGGUGGGUCUCGUUGGAAUGUAAGCUUCUCGAAUUAAGCAAUGUAAAUUUUGUUGCGGGUUAUGUUAUGAAUUUUAUUUUAUUUGGUGUUUAUGUUGUGAAUUUUUUUGUGGGUUAUGUUAUAAAUUUUGUUUUAUUUCAAUACUAUUUGUUUUAGAAAUUUUGUAAAUUUAAUUUUUAUGAAACUGAAUAUAAAUGUUAAUUAUUUUGUAGGAAUGGAAAAUUUUGAAAAUGAGCGUGUAAUUGAAGAUGUGUCACUGGAAAAAUUUGAGCCAACUCUUGGCAUGUUUUUCGAUGGUUAUGAGGAAAUGUUUGAGUUUUACAAAGCGUACGGUAGACAAGAAGGGUUUCCCGUGAAGAAGCUAACAAGUACGAAAGGGAGCGACGGGACUGUAAAAUAUGCGACCUUUGCAUGUGGCCGUAGCGACAAAGCAGAUAGUAGAUCUAGUAAUAUGCUGAAGUUGAAGCCUGUUGUGAAAACUGGUUGUGAAGCUAAAAUCGGAGGUUGUGUAAAUGAAGAGGGAAAAUGGAUUCUUCGAACUUUAAACGUUCAGCAUAAUCAUGGAUUGAGUCCGGACAAAACAAGAUAUUUCCCUUGUAACCGUAGAAUUAGUGCAAGUGUAAAAAAGCGAAUUGAAAUGAAUGAUUCUGCGGGAAUUAAUAUUGCCCAAAAUUUUAAUUCUAUUGUUGUCGAAGCUGGUGGGCAUGAAAAUGUGUCAUUUUUAGAAAAAAGAUUGUAGAAAUUUUGUUGAUAAAACAAGACGAUUGUAGCUUGAAGAAGGAGAUGCUAUGGCAAUUUUAAAGUACUUCGAGACAAAACAAGCUGAAUGCGAUGGGUUUUCUUUUAGCAUUGAUUUGGAUGAGCAAGAUUGAUUGAAGAAUGUAUUUUGGGUAGAUUGGAGGAGUAGGGCAGCUUAUAAAUAUUUUGGAGACGUUGUAACAUUUGACACCACGUAUCUUACGAACAAGUAUGAUAUGCCGUUUGCCCCUUUUGUUGGAGUUAAUCAUCAUGGGCAGUUUAUUUUGUUAGGAUGCGGUUUGAUUUCUCACGAGGAUGCGGAGACAUUUACAUGGCUAUUUGAGGCAUGGCUAUCAUGCAUGUCCGAUUCUCCUCUCAUUGGUAUUAUUACUAACCAAGAUAAAGCAAUGCAAAAGGCAAUUGAGCAUGUUUUUCCUACGACUAGGCAUCGAUGGUGUUUGUGACAUAUAAUGAAGAAGGUGCCUGAGAAGUUAGGGGCUUUUAAAGAACGUGAAGGUAUUAUUUCUUUGUUACUUUUUGUUGUUUAUGAUUCGUUGAGCCAUGCUGCAUUUUAGGAAGAUUGGAAUGACAUGAUUACAACAUAUGAUUUAUGGGAUAAUGCUUGGUUAAAUGGUUUAUAUGAUAAGAGGUAUCGUUGGGCUCCAUGCUAUUUAAAAGAUAGUUUUUGGGCAGGAAUGUCAACAACGCGGCGAAGUGAAAGUAUGAAUUCAUUUUUUGAUGGGUUUGUUAACUCAAAAACAAAUUUAAAGCAGUUUGUGAAGCAAUAUGAAAAUGCAUUGCGAAGGAAAGCUGAAUUGGAAUGGCAAGCAGAUGCCAAGUGUUUCAGUAAAAACUAGGGGUGGGCAUCAGAUCGAAUUCGGGUCAAUCCAAUCCGAUCCGAACUGAUCCGAAUAUGUUCGGAUCGGAUUCGGAUUGACCUCUAAAUCCAAUCAGAUAGAAACUUUGCAAUCCGAUCGGAUUUGAUUCGGAUCGGAUCGGAUUCGAAUCAAUCCGAUCAAUCCGAUCGGAUUGCACUUAAAAAAAAAACUUAAAUAUAAAUAAAUUAAAAGCUUAAAAGACAAACCUCUUCUACCCUAAAUUCCCAAAUCAUAAACGAAUUGAACCUAGCCAGCCACAAAGGCACGGAUUCAGCCAACCCAGCCAUCAAGCUUCGCGCCUGCCGGCUAGCCACAUGUCGAUGACGCCCCCUUCCAUGCGCCGAUGACGUCCCAGGCAACAACAACCAAUCGAAGAUGACAACAAGUACUGCUUGUUGUCUGCUACUGUCAUCUUUAGUUCUUGCUAUCUGCUGUCAUCUUCUCGCUUGAUGCUUGCUGUCUGCUGAUCUUUAGUUCUUCUUCUUCUGUUAUUUUUCCUCUUUCUUAAUCUUAACGGUUGGUGCUGGGUGUUUGCUUUUGUUUGUUUAACUAGUUUUUCUGCUCCUUUACAUAUACAUAUAAUUCGAAUUUAAUCCCAUGAUGACAGCAAGUACUGCUUGUUGUCUGCUGCUGUCAUCUUCAGUUCUUGCUAUCUGCUGUCAUCUUCCCGCUUGCUGCCUGUUGUCUGUUGAUCUUUGAUUCUUCUUCUUCUGCGUUCCCCCCCUUUAAUCUUAACAGUUGGUGCUGGGUGUUGCUUUUGUUUGUAUAACUAGUUUUCUUUUUUCCUUUACAUAUUCAUAUAAUCUGAAUUUAAUCUAAAGCUAUUAAUCCAAUCCGAAUCCGAAUUAAUCCGAAAUAAUCAUCCGUUCUGAAUCCGAUCCGAACUUAUUCGGAUCAGAUGAUUAUUUCGGAUUAAUUUGAAUGGUUUUUAUCCCAACUCGAACAAUCCAAAAUCCGAUCGAAUUGAUCCGAAUCCAAUCCGAAUCCAUUUUUUCCCACCCCUAGUAAAAACACUCUGUGUGUAACAAGAUAUGAGAUGGAGAAACAAGUUGAGAAGAUGUACACAAUUGCUAAGUUCAAAGAGUUCCAGCAAGAAUUAACUGCACUGAUGUAUUGUGAUAUAGUGGAUUCUGUUGGGUCAAUAUAUGAAAUCAGUGAAUCACUUGGACAAGAAAAGAAAAAAAACUUUGAAGUUGUGUUUGAUGAAACUGAAUGUGAAGUUAGUUGUAUCUGCUCAAAGUUUCAGUUUAGGGGAAUUCUUUGUAGACAUGCCCUUUCAGUGCUGAUACGGCAUGGUAUUGAAAUACUUCCAGAGAUGUACAUUUUAUCAAGGUGGAGGAAAGAUGUGAAGAGAUGUUAUAGUAAGGUGAAGGUUAGUUCUGGUAUGCAGAAUUUAUCCAUUCAGCAAGAGAGAUAUGACAAAAUGUGUACUGAUUUCACUGAGGUUGCAAACAUAGCUGCUGAUGAUGAGAGUAGUUAUAAAUUUGUGUUGGAUUGGAUUAAUAAAACAAUGAAGGAUCUGUCCAAGCAAAUUCGGUGUACAAGUGUGGAAACAACUGCUAUUGGUGAAAUAAGUUGUAGCAUGCAACAACAUCGAGCAUGUAAUUAAUGAUCCAGUAGCGGCACGUCGUAAAGGGCGUCCUCAUUGUUUGAGGAAACAAUCUUCACUCCGAAAAAAACCUGCCCAAAAGAACAAGACAUCCAAAAAAAAAAAAAGGUUUGUUUGAAUGCAUAUAUAUGUUUUUUAAUUUCAUUUUAUCUUUUAUCUUAAUUUUUUCUUAAUCAUAUUGUAUAUUAUAAUUUGACAGGAUUUGCAAGAAAAUGCUUCAGCAUCUUUUGAAAUGGCUAAUGAAGUCUCCACACAGCAGAGCAACAUACAGUAGAGCAACAUGGCAAUAGUAUAUUAUUUUGAGUUUUUAUUAUUAAUGUUAGUUUAACUAUUUUUAACAUAUGUAACUAAGUAUGUUGUUGAGUAUAUGUAGACGUUUCACGAAGGAAGCAAUGUAAAUGCAAAUCUCAAUCAGCAUGGGAGUUUAGGCUAUUAUAAUGUAAGAAGCAAAUUCACAAGUAAAUUUUAAUAUGAAUUUAACUUUUUUUUUAGGUACCUGUAUACCCAUUUCAAGUUGGUGGAAAUAAUAUUUACCAGCCAAUUCCUUAUAGCUGGCACACGGUAAGUAUACUUAUAUUUAUAAAUUUCUUAAUGCAUACUUAUAUUUUACGUUGUCAAAUUUUUACAAUGUAUAAUGAUAUUUUAAUUUCUUGUGUAUUAUAGCAAACCAGUCCCACCGUAUGCUUUGCAGUCACAUUAUUCUUCUCCUUCGAUGACGUAUGAAGGAUCUGCAAGUGGGAAUUUUCAACAAUUGUUACAUCAACAAUGUAAUGAAGACAACAAUCGCCGCAAUUGAUGUUUGAUUUAAAUUUGUUUCGAUUAUUUUCAUUAUUAUUUCAGUUAGAUUUGGCUUGAGACGACAAAUUUAUGUUUGACCUUGUGGGUUUUUGCUGUAUUUUUCAGUUUCUGUUUGGUUGACGGUUUCUUGUGUUAUUGUGUUGGUUGACAGUUUCUUGUGUUAUUGUGUUGGCAUUUGCAUGGAAUGAUGGAACUGUCUGAAUUGGGAUUUAAGUUAGAAAAAGUGGCAAAUUAAAAAAUCAUUUCAAAUGUUCGAUUAUUGUGUUGUUUUUGUUUGUUGGCAUUUGCAUUUUUUUUUCAUUUUCCAAUAUAUAUGUUUUAUUAUUGGGUCUGUUAGCAAUUGUUGUAUUUUUUUAGAUAUGAAUUAUAAUUACAAUAGUAAAUUCAGUUCAUAGUACAAAUUAAAAGAACUUUAAAAAAAUUCUUGAAUAUAAAACAUAGUAAAAUAAUUACAAGUAUUCUAAUCAAAUCAUAACAUGGUGUUUGUCUUCUUCGAAGUUCAUCAUUAAACAAUCCCCUCUGCGCUUCACAUAAUUGAAACUUUACAGACAAGCAUUCAAUCUCCAAUGCCAACUUUUUAACUUCGUCCACUAACAAAUCAAUUUUCUCUUCACUCCAUUUACGGUCUUCUGCCCAUUCAAAUUUCUUACAUCCUCUACAUUUCCAAAAUUUACGAUUUGGAUUCUUUGUAGUACGUGACGUGAACAACUCCAUUUGUUCACCGCAUUCGUUACAUAUUUGCAAUGAAUUUCGAGUUUCAUUUGUACUAGAUGACAUCGUCAUUCAUAAACUACUUAAACUGCCAAAAUAUAAAAAACAGCAGGUAUACAAUCCUGGAAGUUAAAAACAGAGCAAAGCAAAAAUUACGGCAACCAUGCAAUUAAUCGAUUGUUAAAAACAGAGCAAAAAUUACACCAAGCAUGCAAUUAAUCCAUUAUAAAUUGCCGUCAUAUCCAAAGAUAUCUGAUUCCACAUAUUCUUUUACCAAACAAUUACAUUUUUCCACUUCAUAUGACAAGAACAAACAAACCAUUAUAUCCCAAUUGACAGGAACCAGAAAUUUCAAACAAAUGUUCAAUAAACCAUCAUGCCCGCAAAGAUGACUUCCUUCUGAAAAAAAAAUAUAUAUAUGGGUACAAGUUUCAAUUUCAAGCACUUCCAUCAGAUAAAGAACAAGCAAAGAAAAAUGUAAAACCAGUUAGACGGCUGAAGUAAAAAAAAAUGAAACAAUAGCGACAAGCAGUGAGAGCAAAGACAAUUUUACAAUUUUAAUAUGAAGAUACCAUGAGGGAUCUGGAAGCGUGAGGCACGCCGGAAGCCGUGAGGGAGCUUCUGGAAGCGUGAGGGAGAGAGAAGCUGGUGAGGCACGCCGGAAGCCGUGAGGGAUCUGGAAGCGUGAGGCACGCCGGAAACCGUGAGGGAGCUUCUGGAAGCGUGAGGGAGAGAGAAGCUGGUGAGGCACGCCAGAAGCCGUGAGGGAUCUGGAAGCGUGAGGGAUCUGGAAGCGUGAAGCCGUGAGGGAUCUGGAAGUGUGAGGCACGCCGGAAGCCUUGAGGGAGCUUCUGGAAGCGUGAGGGAGAGAGAAGCUGGUGAGGCACGCCAGAAGCCGUGAGGGAUCUGGAAGCGUGAGGGAUCUGGAAGCGUGAAGCCGUGAAGCUGGUGAGGCACGCCGGAAGCCAUGAGGGAGAGAGGAAAGUGAGGGAGAGAGGAAGAGUGAGGGCUGGAGAGAAAAUGCUAAGAUUUCCCUCUGCACGAAGCGAUAAAAGCAGUCUUUCUUUAUUAUUUUUUAUUCAUUUUUUUAUUAUUUUAAUGUUUUAUGUAGCGAGAGGAACGAGAAGCGAAACGGCAGGAGAGAAUGCCGUUUCUCUCGUCAUUCUCUCGUUCCUCUCGCUACCUGGCAGCACUCUUAUUGAAUUAUGCUGUUGUCAUGCAAGGUAACUUUCCGUUACACAUAUAGAACUACUGAUGCUCUAUGAAGGACAUGUACAUUGCAAUAAACUUCCUUUGUCCCUACAAGUCAUUAAGCUGGCUGUUGGAGAAAAAUUAAUGCGCGAUAAAUGUUUUGUUACAUCAUAAUAAUCUUGGUGUCUAAAUAAAUACCCAUUCAUGCAAACGCUGUGUUGCAACAACCUUGGUUCUGUUCUUCUCCUUCUUUAUGCUCUUUUCUUCUCUCCUCUGCUUCUUGCAGUUACCUAAUUAACACACACACACACACACGUAUAUAAAUAUAGAUAUAGAUAUAUCGAUGCAUAAUUUUAUUUAUAGAGCAAAAAAGGAAUAUUAUGAGUGACAAUUUGCCAUGUUCAAGUCCUUUGAGGAAGUGGAUGCUUUGGUGGAAUUUGAGGAACAAGGCCAGCACGAAACGCGAUGAAGAUCCCAUUUUGCCAAUAUGUUGGCUUUAAAGGCAACUCUAAUUUAAGGUGCUUGUAAUUUUUCCCACAUAUAUGCAGCUGUAUACCACAGUGGCGAGUGGAUCAAUCGCUACUAGGCGAAGCCCACGCCAUAGGGGAGGCCUUGCAAAACAAGAUUGAGAAACCCGCAGAAGUUGAACGAGCAUUCGUUCAUAUAUAUUGACUUCGAAUGUGAGCACAAGCCAGAGCAGAACGUUGGCGACAAGCUACCCAGCAGUCGGCCAUGUUUGUUUAAACUCUUAUUAUUUCUAAAUCACCCAUGUAACUGUUGCUUGGGCAAAAGCCCAAAGAAAGCUACUCGAAACCAUUCGGUCAAGUCUGGAGAGAUUAUAGCCACUAUUACUUAAUAAUUUAAGCAGUUGAGUCAAGUGACUUUUUGAUAUUUAUGAACAUGGUGUUAGAGCCUGCGUCCAACUUCUGAAUCCUGGUUCAUAACCAUCCUCUAAAUCAAGUAUAUUAAUCUCACUACAAGACGAACAUUAAUUAUCUUCGAACAAUUGUUAUCCAAAAAAUGAUGUAAUCCAUGUUUAAUACAUCAAUUACAUGCUAAGAUAAAGACCCUUUUCAAAAAGAAAGGAGAAAGGAUGGCCAGCACGCAAACUUAAUGCAAAUGUGCUAGGUUUCUUGUUGUUUUGGUUGCUAGACAUCAAGUUACUUCUUGCAGAAGCGUAAUGGUUUUUAUAUUUGAUCAUAUGGAAAUAUGUUGAAGUUGAAAUCUUUAAAAGACAAGCAAUAAAACAGAGACAUAGAAUAAAAUGUUCUACUUCAUUUCAUUGUUUAUACACAGUUCAAUUCUUGCUGGCCAAGAUGUUUCAACCACACGGCUGCAUUUUUAUCUGCAUUGUACUGUUGAUCUUAUCCUCACUGCUCAUUGGCAUUAUCGGUACUUUGCUGAGACACUUGCCACGUCUGCCAUAUCAGGUUACAUGGCCCUUGACUAAUCAGGUGCUUGUUAGGAGUUGCUUCACUGUGAUAAUUCAUCAAACACUUAGUUCACUUCAUCAAACACCUUUAUCAGAUAAUUUUCAAGACUUGUUUGAUAUCCCUUAUCUGGAAAAGUAAUUUGUAUUCCGGUGCUAUAUUCCAAAUUUAAAAAAUAUCCUGCCACACAAUUUCUAAUCAUCUAAUCGAACUUUUUAUUAAUAAAAUACCUUUAAGAAAAAGUACUAGUAUAGACAAAAUAAUAACACCAUAUUAAAAAGAUUUUUACUAAAUUGUAAAAACAUCCAAACCUAUACACUCUUUUCUUCGAAGACCAAGUUUUAUCAGAUUCAUUACAUGAACGCAGCAGCAGAAAACAUAGCCCUCAAUAUUGUAUGUAAAGCAGCUACCUUAACCUUAAACAAUAUUGAUUGCAUGCUAAGGGCCAAGCCUGUUUUACACAAGGUAGCAAAAUGCUCACAGUUGCAUCCAAGUAGAUUGUAGCCAGAGCAAAACUCUUUCCUUUGUAGUUCGCUAGUGGCAAAUUCGAUAACUUCCUCCAGUAACUUCAUAGAACCACCACGACAUGCUGACGUACAGUGUAACACUCGUAAUCAUAGACAUACAUUGAGUGGCCAUCCAAGAAGCAGUCGAGACACGUUUUGAUGGUCCCCCGCCCUUAAACCCUUUCUCGUUGUUUUGGCAAGAGCAGGGCAUACAUUUGUUGCAGAUGGGCUAGAUUUCGUUUUCAUUGCUGAAUAUGCACUUUGUUUCCUGGGUCCAUUGACAUGGAUGACCGAGUCAUCUCCUUCAUAUAUCCCUCUACACAAAAUAAGGAAAUCCCAGAUUCAGCACUGCACAUACACAGGAAAAGUUACAAUACAUACAGACAUUAGACUUCUCAAUGAAUACUAAAAGUAAGCUGACCAUAAUGAUAGAAGACACCUUUCCACCUUCAGUGCAAAUGUGAUCACCAGGUUUGAGCAUCUCCCUACUAAUGGACCUCCAUGUUUGGUCUCCCAUUUUUGUCUUUUUCAAACCAUCUAUCGAACGGGGACAGUACAAAUCAUACAAAUGCUUUGAAAUGUCAAGGGACUUACCAUUUAAUCUUCUGAAUGGGAAUCUUAAAAUCUCAUAUUUACUACGCAUACAUAGAAUUCCAAAAAUUUGUAUUUGUAAAUUAUUUGAGUACACGAACGAUGAUUCCCCAAUUCUUUACAUUCUAAUUGGAGAUUAGCAGCGAGUUCUAUGUUGCUGAUAAGUGAUUUUGGUGUUUUCGAUGUUUAAUUUAAUUAUCUUUUUUAACAAAAUUUGCAAUGAAACGCUCAUGACAAUUCACACACCCCACCUGCCAAAAUAUAGUGAAGCAGAACUCAAGACACAGUGACUUUGAUUUAAAAGCACAGUUACAAUAGUCACUAGCACUCUCGUAAGAACAAGGCAAUUCACAAAAUGCUGUUGGGAGAACAAAGGAAUGUGAAGCAACAAUGAACUAGAGUUAACUAAUAACCAAAAUAUUCGCUGGCUCAACUGUUAGCCUAAUGACUGUUUAGGAUAGUUUGAUAGAGCAGCGUACAACAUCAAACUCUUCUUAAACAGAGAACUUCAGUAAUAUACCAGCUACAUUUUCUAGAAAUUUAGGUCUCAAUGAUGAAAAAUUAACUCAACAUCCCCUGCUUAGUAACCAUAGUUCGAGCCAUAGACAGAGCCGUAGCCUCCAGCAUGGCCUGCAUGUCCUGGAUUAGAAGGGGGUGAUCCAUACAUUGAUGCAUAUGGGUUAUAACCUUGGUCUGCAGACGCACCCAUUUGUGCCUGUGAUGGAGCUGCAGCUUCAGCCAUGAAAUUCUGCCAUAAGAUAAAAAGAGUACUAUCAGCUUAAAAUCCAAAAAGCGUGAGCACAAGAACGCUAUAAAGGCUACAUGAAAAACAGCAGUCAUAAUAUUCACACUGAAAAGAAGAUAAUAUCUCUAUAUUGUUCAUUUUGAUACAUCUUCAUAUCAGACCAUAACGAAAUGUCGUGAGAGUGUGGGAAAACACGCUGAAUGUGUGUCCAUUAAGAAAUAUAAAUUUCACUCAGCCAACAACUAAAGGAAGAAAAACAAAGGAUUACAAUAAGUGCUAAAUUGUGCUUCAGUCCUAAGGAUCAAAUGUCAUCAAACUGUCAGCCUCUGAUAGGUUAAAAAUAGACUGCAGCAAUCCCAAAGGAAAACUAAAGAGCAGCUACCAGGCCGAACCAGAUCUAAAGCACUCCCAAAACCUCUUGCAACACUUUUUAAGAGGUUGUACCAGUUAAACCAACUAGCACUCACAACGGGUAAUUCCUAUUUCUAGUAUACGGAACUGUUACGUGUAAUAGGUGUCCAAUUACACUCCCAUCAACAUACAACUCAAAGAAUGUAAAUAUUCCCAUACAUUGAGCAUUAACUUUUCCAAAUCCUAUUUCCAGACGUAGCAGAAUUAGAACAUAUAGCUGGGUAAAAGACUUCUCGAGGAUAAUGAAAAUUAGAUUUAAGAAGGAUAUGUAGUGGACGCACUACAAACUGAAAAUUCACACGCAAUAUGAUACACAGGAAAAACAAAAUAAGCCACUAACAGACAUAAAAAGCAGAAUAUCCAGUUCAGAGUCUUUUUUGGAAAAUAAUUUAACAGAGAAACAGAUAUAGUAAAAUCAGUUCAAAUUCAAGACAAGGAACAUUGCCUGAAUUAGCUGCUGAGCAGUCUGGACUUGAGAAGCAGUUCCACUAAUUUCAACUGUCAUCUCCCCUGGAACGCCUCUGGUCUCUUGUAUUGUCACAGUUGCUCCACUUGAACGUCGAAUGUAGCUUAUACUUGCACCAGCUGUCCCAAUAACAGCAUCAGCAUAAGAAAGUGGAAUUUGCAUUUGCUGAGUGACCUGAAUAAUCACAUGAAAACCACCAUUCAGAUGUCUGGAAAAAUUAAAAGAAAAAGUUUAUUGGGUUGGCCCAAGAUUAUGAUUAUAUAAACCGCAAAUGCAGCCAAAGAUAAGUUUCAUCUAGGCUGCAGUCAACUGGCAGCAUAGUAUUUAAAUUAUAAUGCAUAAUGCAUUGAAGAAUUACAAAUAAACUGCAAAUGCAGCCAACGAUAAGUUUUAUCUAGGCUGCAGUGAACUUGCAGCGUAGUGUUUACAUUAUAAUGCAUAAUGCAUUGAAGAAUUACAACCAAAUGCAUUUUUGAUUAACAGAACCCUGAAAGAGAAUAUACUAAAACAAAUAAAAUAAAAUAAAAUAAAGUAAGCAGUAUACAGCAGAUCACAUCCUAUAAUUUCAAUGUAAAAAUCCAGCGAUAAUUAGCAUGACAUAUUCAUACCCAGGCGGUAAUAACAAGCCAAGGCACCACAUUUUGGAAAUCAAAGGGGCCCUCGGUUCAACUAUCGAUCACCUCUUCGAUUCAUAAGCUUAUAUGUUCUCAUUUGUUCUUAGGCUUGCCUGCUAUAUUUGGUUUGCAGGGACUCAUUUAUAAAAUUGGGGAAAGAGUGCUAUUCUCUUAACUAAAGAAGGAAUCAAUAUUCUCCUUCAAAAAGAUAAGACAGAGAGAUUGCACAGAAUUAUUAUUCAGUGUUUAUACUAAAUAAAAAGAAAUAUAACCUGUGUUAUCAUGGAUGGUGUCGACUGGGCAUUUGAGGAUCCAUGGACAUUCACGGGGGCUUCUCUUCCAUAGGCAGAUAUUCCCUGAUGAGGCUGUUUCUCCAUAGGAGGUGGCAAGUCAGCAGGAGGAUAGUAACUCUCGGCUUGCCGUGGAGGUGGCAUGUACUGAGGAUUAUGUCCAUAACCCGGGCCUCCACUAGGGGGAAGACCCUGAGGUGGACCCCAUGACUGAGGAGGUGGAAUGUGAUCCAUUUGAGGAUUCGGCAUUUGCAUCUGGUUGGAAAAAAUAGCAAUUUAGAAUUUCACUAUGUUAUAUGAUAAAGUUGGUCUUGUUAGUUACUUCGGAGCAAUUGUCACGGUAUUACACUUACAUGCAUUUCAAAUAAUGGUAUUAUACUGCGGUCAACCAAAAACUUCCUAAGAUGAGAUCCAAUUAGCUCCAUAGCUUUGUGAACACCAGAUGCAUCUCCUACCACUUCAACAACCCUAUCAUCUUGAAGGGCAAAGACUGGGAGGUCUUCUGCAGCAAUUCAUUUUAACAAGUCUUAAAAUAUACACAGCAUACCAUCAGGAAUACAUAAAGCACAUAGACGUAUUAAUGAAUAAUUAUAAGAACUUUAUCAUAUGAGGUUCUCAAGGAAUGUCUUUGAGAUAGCAAGCGAUAGUCGAUGAGAACUACAAAAUCCUAGGAUAAGGUGGUGGAUUAAUCAAAACCUUAAAUUUGGAUGUAAUAGCAGUAGACAAUUGAUUAGAUGUUAACAAUGAUUUAAUGGGCUCCAAAAGGCAAAAGAACGGCAACCACAUCUAAAAAACAUGUAUCUGAUAAUCAAACAUAGAACCUUCUGGAACAUCACAGCAAUAAGCUUAUUCUGCUCAAUUUUAGGAGAGAUUUUCCCACCAGAUUGAUGAAAUAAGAUGAACAUAAUGAGAGAAGAUGACAAAAUAGAACCAACAGUAACUUCUAGUCAGAAGUAAGAAUGAGGUUGAAGAAUACCUGCUCCAAGGACUCUAACUAUGCAAUUAGAUGCUUCUUGGAUAGAUUUGACUGUUCCUCCUUGUUUACCAAUUAAACUUCCAGCUUGUGAAGCUGGGACUAACAGCUUUGUUGAGACCUUGCCUCCAGUUCCAGAAGGAGCAUGAGACGAAUCACUGUCCAAACCGUCAACAAUGCGUUUGUGCACCCUCAAAAGGCCAUCCAUAGCAGGAGGAAGAGAAGACUCAGGUUCCUCCUUGGCUGAUAUCAUCACCUAUUCAUAACCGGAAAACAGUAACAUCAGCAUAAACAUUAAAGCACGAAUUUCGUGUCUUAAUUCCUAGAACUUUAAAUAAAACAAGAACCCACCAAAACAAAUAAAUAACUAAAGAAACGUCGGGUAAUCAAACUCUUUGCUUACAGAAACAAAAAAUAAACACUUAAAAGAAAAUUACAAAUCACCUAAGACUCCACUUUCUUGUCUGUGUAACAAAUAUAACAAUUUGUUUGCCAAGAAAUCAUGCAGCAGUAAAUUAACUCCUCACCAGCUUAUUGUUGUAACAAUGAUCCAAUGGAAUUCCUAAUCUAUUGAAUUUUAUGUGUUACAUCCCCUAUAAUUUCAAAAAUUGCUGGUAGCUAGGUUUUACCAACUCAUGACAUCUUCUUGCCAUCACAGUCACUAAACAAAAUAUAAAUUUGUUGCCACAUUGUGAAUAAUUAUUUUUUUUCAUUUUUUCCUUAACCUGAUAUACUUUAUCAACACAUUAAGCCUAAGUUCAUAGGUUUUCUUUUCCUUUUCUUUUUUAAAUGAGCUGAUAAAUAAAGAUUUGAGAUUCUACUCAGUUAAAAAACACAAAUGACAAGUACAAAAGUUACUGUAUGUCUUUCAAUAUAACUGCUUAAUUGAGUUAGAUGAUUUUAGGGGUUCAUAAUUUAAACACAAGUAGGCCUUCUUCAAAAGAAAUUUUAAGAUUAACAGUGAUCUUAUGUGCUCUUUUAAAGCUUAUUUUUAAUAGGUUCUCUUGUGAUUUUUACAAUCUGCGGCAAGACAUCAAUCAUCCAGGUUCUGAAGUUACCAGAGACAGCGGAGAGCUUCUUGGUACGGUUGUAGAUUUUUAUUCAACUCAGCUUUUCAGCACUUUGUAAUGCUCAAUGCUGAUCCCUGCAAUCUGGAUCUUUGGUCCUUCAAGUUUGGAAUCUUAUUUUGAUUUGUUGCCUCAAAAAGAGGCGAAUAGAACCUGCACAGACUAAUGUUUGUUAUUGCAGUAAAGGGAAUUUUAUUUUUCUUUUACGGAUUGCUAGUUACUACAGAAGACACUCCCUUCUUGUCCUCUUUAUUAGUUAUAUUUUGUUUCAAGAGUAAUUGUCUGAUAAGGUUCUGUCUCAAGAAGUAACAUUUUCCAUUUUUCCUUAUUUCAAGAGAAAUUGCAAAAUGUUACAUAACAAUGCGAUUAAUCUGCUGCAUAACAUCCUCCUCCAUAACAGGACAUUAACAAAUUAACCAAGCUACCAGUUAAUGUAUAAAUCAUUCUAAAACUUUAGACAGAAUGGAAGUUGUAGCUCACCUAACAACCAAACAUCUGCUUGAUUGCAUGAAAGUCUUCCAAUCACAUCCAACUGAUUAGAGGUACAUUUUUUCCUCUCUUCAUGAACUUCUCCAUGAAGGAUUACCUAAUUUUCCUUUUGUUUUGUUCUUUAACUUGGAUUAGAAAUGAAUUUCUGAAACCUUUUAGCUUUGACAAGGAGACAACCAUUCAGUAGUUUUACUUUUAUGUCUUUCCCAUAUUUCAAAUAAUGAUAAACAUUUCAAACUAAAUCUACUGCAUAUAGGGAGUUUUCUCAAUUAUGAGAGACCAUAAAACUUUCAACAAUUUCCUUUCGCAUUUCUCACGUAUGUUCAUUCAAGCCAUUUCUACAUCAAUCUAGCACUAAACGACUGAAAUUUUUUGAGCGUAAUAUGUUAUUUUCACAUUAAAGGUCAAACCAACAAACAACCUAACAUGUCUUUUAAAAAAUUCAAAAGACAAAUAUACAUACACAAUUAAAAUCCAUAUGUUUAAGAGUGAUGUUGAAUUUUUUUUUUUUAAAAAAAACUCCAAUUGUGACCAGUAGGAAAACCAAAAAAGUAGUAGGAGCUAGCUCAUAGAAAGAGGGUAUCAGCCAACAAAAAAUUAGAGUAAGCAGGUCUAGCUUACUCGCAUAUCAGCUAUUUCUACAUAAACUGCAUGAAGGAAAUUAAUUAUGAAAACUUACAGCUCUUUCUGUCGUCCCUGGAGGACCGUCAAGUAUCUUAAUUCGAGCUCUUGUCUCCUCAACUAUUUUCUUGAUGAAUUCUCCUUUGCGGCCAAUUAUACUACCAACUUUUUGUGCAGGAACCAACAUCCGAAACACACUCUCUCCAGGCCAUCCAGGCCACUUUUUUUCAGUGCUUCCAACUGCCAAAUUCACCUCAUUUUCUUGUUUUUCUUGAAGCUGUGAGUCCUCAGGUACUAUAUCCUCUGGUACUUGAUCCUCAGGUACAUGAUCCUCAGGGACUUGAUCCUCAGGUACAUGAUCCUCAGGGACUUGAUCCUCAGUUAGUUGAUCCUCAGUUACUUGUUCCUUGGUUACUUGACUCUCAGGUACUUGCUCCUGGGGAACUUGCUCCUGAGGUACUUCAGGUACUUCAUAUUCAGGCACUUCAUACCCAGGAACUUGAUUUUCAACUUCUUGAUUCUCAGGUAUUUGCUCCAAGUCAUGGUUCCCGUCAUGUUCAACAAAUCCCUGAUCAGCUUCAGCCAUAAUUUCCCCACUGUAACAAAACAUAGAUUCAAAAAUUAUUUCAAAAAGAAAAUGCAUUAACAAUUAGUAUAUUUGAACUCCGGCCAUCAAAUAUUCUUAGUCAAGGGAAGCAACAAUACAUAUGCCCAACAAACAGAACUCAGGAUUCCAACUGGACAAUAUUCACUUCUCCUAACCUUCACUAACUUAAGAAAAUAAACUACGCAUAGCAUCGCAGAAAAAUAGAAUCUACAGACAAUUCAAAAAGUAAUAAUCCCAAAAAAAAUUAACAGAAAAGAAAACAACAGAGCACCGCACUAACCUGGAAUUAACAUGUUUGAGCUGGAGUACCUUAGGGUUUGAAAUAGUAACACAAUAAACCAGCACAUAAGCAUAUAAACCCUAAAACUACAAAGACAUUAUGACUAUAAAAUAAUUUAAAAAAUCACAAAAUAGCAAGAACCCAUUAAUGGGUCAAACAUAAAAACACCCAAAUCACUUAAAAAGAUAUUCAAUUUAAAACUACACACAAUAAUUACCGGACCCACAU
rnacentral:lncRNA from 1 species